UACAGUUUUCCACCCCAGCAGCCAACCAGAAUUGACCCCUAUAACGUCCCUACUUUCAACUACCAUAAUUAUCAUAUAUACACACAACUUUGUAUAUGUGUGAAAGUUGCAUAUUUUGCAUACAUUUUUCAUUUUCAUUUUCAUUUCAAUAUGGCUUUGUAUUUAUCAAAUAUCUUUGGGUGCUUCUCUGAGUCCUCAUCUCCACAAUCUAAAAGAUACGAAUGCAACGGUGAUGUUUGUGUUCUCAGAAAUCCAAAGGAAAAUAUUAACAAAAAAGCAUCCAACACCAAUAAUAAGCAAAAGCAAUUUUCUCGUUUUUCUAUCAAAUGGUCUCCAAGAUCACGCUUCUGAAUAGCAAGGCUCAUGAUUCUUCUAUAAACAGGUUGAUUAGUGUUAUUGAUUCAUCAGUGUAAUUCUCUUUGUUCCAUCUAUAUAUUGUUUUUUUUUUUUUUUUGGAGAGGAUAUAUUGUAUUUUUUGUUGUUAUUAUGAAUUAGCAUGCAUAUGCAUAUGAGGUAUAGGAUUGUGAUCGUUAAGUGAACUAUUGGAGGCUACAAAAAGUGGCAUAUUAUUUAUUUUUCUUCUCAUCAAUUAAUAUAUAUCCUACCUUAUUCCAUCUUGAUUUUUUCUUAAUGUGACUUUAUUUUAAUCUCUUAUGGUUACACGAUUCUGCUGAAUCAUUAAGGUGAUCGCAUGAAAUAAUUGUUUUUAUGUUUUAGUUAUUUCUUGUAAACAAUUAAAGUAAAUUUUUAGGAUUGAAGAAAAUAAUUUGUCUUAAUCCUCCAAAUUAUAAGAAAAAUGUCAUAUAAUCUACAAUUUGGUUGAAAUAUAACUAAAUAUUAAUUAAAGAUUGUUUCGAUCAACAACCAAAUAUCAAACUCAGGUGGUACGGAUCGAUUUGAUCCUAAUCAAAGUUCAUUAAUCAAUUGAGUACACUUUGUUUUAAAAAAAAAAAAAAAAAACUAGAUGCCUGUAAAUACUUGCUUAUAAGUAUUUGACGGAUACUCGUGUGGAUAUAAAGUGAUCACGAAUAGUAUAUUUACCUAACAGAUCUAAUAAGGAAUCGUACUCAUUGACAUCCCUUGGUAACUUUGCUGGAGGAUUUGUAUUUGCUUGUGGGAAAAGUUUUGUUUUGAACUGAGUUGGAGUAAAUUGUAAUUCACUCAAUAUUAAGAAAGUUAACCAUAUAUAUACACGGUGUGACAUCAGUAUUAUAUGUAUAUUAAACUAUAUAGCUUAGGGAUUUCUCUCUUCUUUUUUUUUUGGAUAAAAAGGGGCAACCGCAACAGACAACGAAACUGAAAAGAACCUAAAAUCUUUUGAAAAUGGUACAGAACAACUAUCACCUAACAAAGCUACAUAAGCAAAAGGAGGAAUGAGAUCACCAUCGUAAUGAUAAGUUCAUUACUCUCUUUAAGUUGGACGGAUCUUUUCAUGAAUGCAAAUUAUACGGACCCUUAAACUGAACCUAACCAUAUGUUUAAACUUUAAAGAGCUAAAUUACUCUAUCCGAUCUCGAAUAUAAACAACAAAAUAGUAGUUUUAGAUAAUGAGAAUGGUCAAAAAAAAGUUGUACAGUGAGUCAAAAAAGAGUUGUAGAAGUUUUUUAUUGACGUCGUAAUACAAGUUAAGUUACAAUCACAUGAAACAAUACAAAAAUAUGGAAGAUAAACAUAAAUGUACGAUGAUUAGGUGAUGAAUGAAUCUACAAGGUACCGACUCCCAACGACCAAAAUCAUGUUAGAUGGAAUGAAUGAAUGGGGUAGAUUAGGUAAUGAAUGAAAGAAUUAAUGAACAAUUUUGUCAGAUGACAUUAUCUUCUGAGUCAAUUUUAUGAUAUUCAAGUGAGACAAGUUUCGCAUCAUAUAAAAACUUAUUUUGAAUAUUUGAUCAAUACAUCUUGCUAAAUAUGAGAUCAUAUGAGUGAUUGAUUCAAUGAUACAAAAUAUUUGUGCUUGGUAUGAGAACUGAGUCGUAUUCAGCUAUGCAUAUUUAAACAAACUUUAGUCUAAUGUUGAUAAUUAGUAAAUUUUUCUCGAGACAAGAGUUACCAGUUACCACUAAGUUCAUAAUGGUGUGAAAAUUGCUGUUGACACAUCUUGUUAGGCAGAAACACGAGUAAAAUACCAAAAUACCUCUCGGUAGUUAACUGCAGAGGAAACAGGAAAAUACCCUUCGGUAUCAAAAUACCAAAGCAGAGGCAGUAGCUUCAUUUCCUAAACCUGUAAUGUGUUUCAAACACAAAACACAACAUAUGUACUUGUUUUUUUUACGCAUAAUGGUUCAAAUCACAAAAUAAAUAUUGGCGCAAAUGCACAUCUUAAUUAAACCAACAUUUUUACCAUUAAACAAAGUAAAAUAUCCCAAUGAAAUUAAAACUAAUGUCAUCAAAAUACGAAUAUACAAAUCAAUGUCAUCAAAAUACAAAAACUAAAAAACAAGUCCUAAAAAACGAACUACUGCUAGUCCUGGUCCUGCUGAUGUUGUUGGUGCCUCCUCCUCGGCCUCUGGCCUUGCCUCCUGGCCAAUAUCGCCGCGAUCUGCUCUCUAACAUGGCUCAUGGCCUGAAACCAUUGUUGAGGGCUCAUGACCUCCGUCUGACCCAUCUGCACAUCUGCAUAGGCAACAACACUGCUAACCAUGUCAUAUGUAUCAAGCGAGCUUCUCGCCUCGUACCGCUCUCACUGCUCUUCAAUGAUAUGUUCCUCAUUUGCUGGCCUCGGAAGAUCUCUUGGAAGAGGUGGCAAAAUCUGAGGAUGAGGCACCUUAGUGUACCAUAACACAUAGCCCUCCUUCAUACGCCAUGUCGGCUCACCCCAAUCAGGCUCCUUAAGCGUGUGAGUGCGGAAGUCAACAAAUGUCUGCACAAUCUGAGGCGGUGGCAGCUUUACAACAUCCGACGGGCAUGUGAAAAGUGUUGGUCUCGGGAUGUCAUCUCUCGCAUAGAGUCAUCAACAAAGCAUGAGGCACAAUGGCGUAGCCCAGGUAAACCAAAUCAUGUAAUCCGCUCUCCCUAAGCGGAUCCCAAAACCAUCUCUGAUUGUCGUUUGGACGUCCGAGACUCAAAAUCUUAGCCCCAUGAUUAAUUGGUUUUACAACACGCGCCUUACGAACCUGAAAUAAUAGAAAAAUAAACAUAGUUUAAACAAUGUAAACAUUUAACUAAACAAAAUAAAACUUAACAAAUGCAAAAAUAAAAAUCACAAAUUUAAAUUGCCGCACGUAUUUUUAAUUUAAGACAUAACACAUGUAAAACUUAAAACUUAAAAAAAACACAUAACAAAAACAAUUUAAAUCAUAAUUAAACAUAAAGAAAACAUUAAAAGUUGAAAAAAAAAAUAUAAAGAAAAUAAUUAAAUACAAAAAAAAAAAAAAAAACUUAUGUUAUUUGAAUUAUACCAAAGCGGCAAUGACACAUGGUUGGAAUAAGAGUGCAGCAGAGAUAUAUUUUCCGGUCCUCCAGGAAAGGGAGGCUCCACAGGUAACACUACUGGGGCAGCCGCUGCUGCAAUGUCAUCAUCAUCUGGUAUAUGUUGUUGCUCUGGUAUAUGAUCCUGGUCAUACCCACCAUCAGUCGCAUCGUGGUGUACCUGAUCCUGAUAAUUCAGGUACUCCACCUCCUAGGUCGGGCCAACCACCUGCGACUCUUCAGACUGUGUAGCCUGCGAAGCCUUAGAAGCCUGAGAAGUCCCUGAACCAUCCCCCCUCCGACCUCUACCCCUCUUUGGGAUGUGCCCCCUUUGCCUCUCCUUUCGAUGGCUCUAAGUCAUCGCACGCCUACCACCAAUCAUCUUAAAUGGAUCAAUCGGGUCCUGCUCAGACAUAUCUACACAAACAAUUAAAAAAUUUACAUCAUUUCCAUAACCUAAUCAAACACUUUGUGUGCAUCAUUUCAAUAUAAUCUAAACUAAACCUUCACAUUUAAAUAUAAUCAUUCACAUCUCAAUAUAACCUUCACAUUUCAAUAUAAACAUAAACAUUCAAUAUAAUCAUUAUAAUCAUCAUUUCAACAUAAACAUAAACAUUCACAUUUCAAUAAACAUAAACAUAACUAAACCUAAAACCAUUCAAUAUAAUCAUCAUUUCAAUAUAAUUUAUGUGCAUCAUUUCUAUCAUAACCUAAACAUCAUUCAAUAUAAUUUUCAUAAUCUAAACUAACUAAAUAAUCAAUAAAAUUGUUAUUAAGGCAUUUUAUCAAACACUUUGUGUGCAAAGUAUAAAACAUAUUCAAAUUGUGUUCAUUUGUCACCAUUCAAAACCACAUUAUCAUUAAACAUCAUUUAAACAGCAUAGGCAACAACUACAUUCAUUUAUCAAUUCAUAAAAUACACAUGCAAUCAUCAAAUUGUCAAUUUUAAAAUUAACCCUAACACAUGCAAACUACUCAAAAAAAAAUUAAAAACUUAACCUAAACAAACUAACAUUAACAUUGCAAUGAUCAAUGGUACUUACUUGUGAUAAUGUGGGGAUGAUUGGCUUGCAAUUCGUGAAAAUGGAAUUUGGAGAGAAUUUGGGACAUUUUUGAACAAAAGAAGGAAACUGCAAAACUGAGUUUCUGCUUCUGUUUAUGUUUAGCACGUCUCGGCAGUUAUCUGCCGAGCUUUUCCUCGAGAGUUAACUGCCGCCGGUUCAUUUUUUCCUCGGCAGUAACUGCCGAGGGGCAUUUGCGUCUUUUAUAUGUGUUUCUCAGCCAAAUCAAAUGUGUCAACAGCAAUCUUCUAAUGGUGUGGACCUAGUUUGUUACCUAAACCUUGGACCCAGAAAGAAACUUUCACGGCUUUGUCCUUCUCAAAUAUUUCUGCUGCCCCUAUGAAUCUUCUAGGAAGGAAUCCAAGCCACUUAUAGUUGUUUAAAACGGCUAUGGUUGUACUCAAAAGGACAGAAAAAGACACAGCUGGAAAGUAUUCAAAGAGUGUGUUUUCAGACUUUGGAUAAAUUGAUAAAAAUACACUUGCUUAGCAUUUUUUUAACAAAUUAUUUUCUUUAUCUUAUGUAAAAACAUUUUUAAACAAAAAUGUAUUCAAAAAAUUUAAAUAUAUAACUUUAACUAAAAAAAUACUUUUUUUUUUUUUUGAAAGAACUAAAAAAAUACUUAUAAAGUACAAAUGAACGUGUGUAAAUCCAAAUGCAUGCAAUAUUCACACCUAGUUUAUGCUUUAUUAUUUACUAUCUAAUAAUGGGUAUUUGUCUACCUUGAAGCCAUCCAAAAAUUUAAACACUGAAAGUGGGAACCACCAUACAUUUGAUGCUUAGUUUCAUUCAUUCGUGUAACCUUGUUCAAUGUCUCUAAAUGACAAGCUGAUUUUGUACUUCAAUAAUGUGCUUCAACUCCAUUAACUAGCAAUGAAGACCCCACCCGAAAGGUAAGAGUUAGUGAAAGCCACAAGUUUCACUUACAAAACUCAAAAUUGAACAGGAGUCACAUAUCAUAGAUACAUUCUUUGGGGUCUACCAAGAAAAUAAAACAACACAAGAAGCAGAAGACAAGGUGGUCUAAUUUCAAUUUCAAAUGGUGGAUGGUAUUUAACCUGAAUAUUCAUGUAGGCAGUUUAAUCGGUUGAAACAAGAAAAAGCAAAUUUGCUCUUGCAUUCGCGACACAUAAACAUUUCAUGUACAGAAUAAUAACAUUAAGGCCUAAAAUGUGACAUGUAAUCUUCUGAUGAAAUGAAAAUCUAGGCAACUCAAUUUCAUCCAUUUGUAAUGAAUGUACAAGGCAUCAACGGGAUAUUUUACCAUCUAAUGAAAAAUCUAAGCAUUAACCAUAAUCAAUUGACCCGUUGCUAUUUUCUGUGGUUUUCAACUCCAAGAUAAUACAAAUACAUGCUGCAGCAUGUCAAUAAUCCCUUUCUGGGAAAUAUGGAAAGGUUCUAGAGCUAUUUUCUCCCAAGUGUUUGAACAUAAGGAAACUCAUUGUGAUUUACCUUGUGUCAAAUCCUACUUAAGAAAACCAUAAGAUCCCCAACAUAAGCAUCCAAGGGAUAAUAAUCUUCUACAGCACAUGGUAUCCAUUUCAUACCUUUCAAAGUAACAAAGCGGUAACCUUUUCCUCAACUUUAUGAAUCAAAAUCAGAAUCCAAUGACAAGAGCCGAAAUUCAAGGAGUCAAAUUUUUGCAGAAACAUGCGCAUCAGAAUUGGAACACCGUGUCAUAGCUGCAAAGCCAGGUCUGGUUGUUGCGAGUCAACCAGCACGCCAGAAGAUUGUUUUGCAGGGGACCCAGGUGAUUGGAAAUCAACGUUCAAGUCAGGCGGAAGUGUUUCUUGUUUCUGUCUUGGUUGACUAUGAGGCCGGACAGCUUGCCAAGGGGGCUGCAUUUGAAAUCUUGCUAAGUCGGAAGCUGCUACUUGAGGGAAAACCAUAGGCCGGUUUGAAAACUGUGAAACACCAACUGCAUGCAUGUGUUGAGGUACAAGUGCCUGAAAUGGGAAAUUGUUCUUCUCUGCCUGGAAAGGCAUUCCACCAGCAGGAAACUCAGCCCUGAUUCUUGAAAGAUGCUGCUGGUACUCUCGGGUCGGGUUGUACAGUGACUCUGCAGAGAUCUGGUUUUUGGGUGAACUAGAACUUUCAGGUCCUUGUUUAAACCCUGCAGCUCCUACAGACAUCCAUGCACGGGCAGCUGCUGCUGAGGCAUUACUUAAGUCUUCUCUCCAUCCAGGUGGAACUGAUGGAGUUACUGGUGGAGUUUCGGCCGGGGAAUGAUUGGAUGAACUUGAAGCCUGCUGUUUUUGUGCCUUCUCAGCUAACAUCUUCAUCAGCUGAACUGGGUCGCUAAGACUCUGCUCUUGCCCAUGGGUAACAAAGGGAGCCGAUCUGGCUGUUUGAGUUGAUGUACUUUCAGAUGAUGGUGCAGUCAUCCGUCUAUUGAAACUAUUAUUCCUGACUUUGCCAUUAGGUAACUCUCCAAUAACAACUCCAUUAGCAUCUGGCUGCUUGAAAGGCAUAGACGUUAAAAUGUUAAUGUUGCUUGGUAUCAUCUCUCUAGGUUUAGAAAUAGCAGCAGGAGCACUACUUGUAAGCUUCGAAACUAGACUGGCAUUGUUCAGAUCGCUUGCGGGUAAAGAGUUCAACUCCACUUGUUUCAAACCCUUAUUCUCAGAUUUGCCAAUGUUCCUUGUUUGGACAUUCGGUUGUUGAUGAAUGAGAUUGAUAGAAGCAUUCGGUUGUUGAUGAGUGAGAUUGAUAGAAGCAUUUGAUUGUUGAUGAGUGAGAUUGAUAGAAGCAUUCGGUCUUACUCCAGCAGAACCAAAGAAAGAUGGUUUUGCUUCUGAUGUGAUCCCACAGCUAGGGCGAACUGAAGGCUGUUUCCCCUCAAACAACGAUGGUUUUCCUUCUGAUGUGAGCCCACAACCAGGGCGAACUGAAGGCUGUUUCCCUUCAAACAUCGGUUGAUUUACAGGAUGUUCAAAGGUGGACUCUACAUUCUUACCAUUUUUGCCUACCUCUGUCAGUUUAGUAGUAGACAGCAGCUUUGUUGCCAGACUAGGUUGCUCUUUCUGGACACGGUUAUCAAGCAUCAAUACUGGGGUUGGAAGUGGUUCAUACUCUCCAACCCAACCUCGACCAUAUUUACAGCCCGAUGGCAGUGCCUGUUGAAUCUUCUGGGAAGCUAUUCGCCAAGCAGUAGGUCCUAGAGUUGCAGCAUAACGAGCCAAACUCCUGGCAUAGGAAUAUUCAGCUUGAAGUCCAACCUGUUGCCAAAAAUAAUACAACAUUAAAUGCAUUGAACAAGAAAAGAAAGCUAAAGUUAUUCAAGGAUUAAAUUUCACUCCUGAUACAUACAGUAACUAACUGCUUAAGUUCACUCUCAAAUGUCGUAAAUACUGAAUCAGAUCUAGUAACUGGUAGAUUAGACAUGUUAUAAGUAGCACGACGUUCAUAUUCUUGCACAGUUGAUUUCCUUCCCAUCUUGGAGAGAAGGCCUUUCCCUGAAACAAUAAAAUAAUAAAAUCAAACAAAAAUGGUCAGAUGUUUCAUUAAGAUCCUAAUUUGGAAGAAUGCAAAAAAUAAAACAUUGAAGUCACAGUAUAACAGAUCAGAUGGAGAGCUUGAUCUCUUCUCGGAUACCUGAUAUGAAGUCUUCUGCUUUCUCUUGAUUUGCAUCAAUAAAGAAAGAACUUCCCAAAAGACCAUCAAUGUUGCCAGGCCUUUCACAGAGGAUACCUUGCAUUGGAUGGGAAAUUGGAUGGGAAAUUGGCAGUACAUCUCCAGUAGUAGCAAGAGUCGCACCAGAGCAGAAAUCAGAGCCAACAGGUUCCUGUGAAGUAUAACCAAGUGGCCUUUUGGCCAGCUUCUUACCUAAGGAAUUGGAUCCUGUUUUUUGUUCAGAUUUCAGCUCACUCUGAGAGCGUUCCAAGUUGAUCCUUAACUUCUCAAACUUCUUUCUAGCUAGUUCUUGUAUUGAGCGUGCCUGCAACAAAUACAGGGAUCAUUAAGCAAGCACAACCAAAUGGUUAGUUGCCAUUAUAUUCAAGCAAAUCGAAAGAAAAUAAUCAUCUUCCUACCUGUUUGUGGUAUAUAGUAUCUGACGAAUUGUACUGCAUUGCAUUUGAACAAAUCAAAAAUACAUCACUCUGCAUUCAACAAUGCAUUCAAAUGUCAGUAAAAUAAUUUGUUUUUAAUGCACCACUUGGUCAGGAAAGUGCUAUCUAUGUGCAGUUUAAAAUUGAUUCAGACGAUAAAGCAAACAAAGAUCGGGAUUUUAAUGAAAUAAAGGGAUCCUUAUUAACGUAACAAUUUUGUAAUUAACAGAUAUCAUUGUCUUCUCCUGCAUCCCUUUCAUCUAAAAGACGGUCCAAUAUAUCCCUAAUGCCUAUCAACGGUCAACCUCUAGAAAUUGCAGUCCUCUGUGGCCUUACUGGGCAUAAAAUUGUUUUUUUUUGAGAUUUGAGUGAAGAUUGAUGGCAAGCCAUGCAUCAUAAGGUAUAUCAUAUCGGCGUUGCCUUUGCUUUCCUAGUAAAUCAAGAUUUGCAACCUAAAAUCAUCUAUGUCAAGCACAUCUGUUCAUGCAUUACAAGUUUAUAACAACCAGAAUAAGAAUAACACUAACGAUUCACAAAGCAUGGAGGAAAACCAGUAACAAAGAAGGCCAUUAAACCUAAUUUAAACAAAUGAAUAGACAUCAUUUUUUGUAUGCAAAUGUCUGGUCUGCUCGUAACUUAAUUUAAGCAAAAUCAUAAAAGUCAACGACAGUCAACAGCCAAACCUUUUACACCAGGUAGAGUUAGAUUCAAAGAUUUAUGGAUGUCAUAGAGUUCUAUCAUAUGCAUUAUGUCCAAAGAUACAGUUUAUCUCUAAAUUUCUCUUGAUGAUUUAGUCUAUAGUUUUUUUAUCUCUAUCUACCUUAUAAUUAUUGGAUUAUAUCUACCAUCUGGCCGGCUCUCUUUACUGGUGUUUCUACAUAUUUUCUCCAUCAUACCCAAACCACCUAAGACAAGAUUCUACCAUCUCUAAAAUGGGGACUACCCUAAUUAUCUCUAUAAUGAUUGUAUUUUGUAUCCUGUUUUGCCUAGUGUUUAAGCAAGAUCAUACCAUGAGGGUGAAACUGCAAUAUUACCACCAAGUUAAGAAGACUAUCAUUUAUGAUUUAUCAAUGCCAAAAUAGACAAGUUAUCAGACAAAAAAAAAAAAAAUACUUUCUUUACACCUUUGAUGUCAAUGACUUCGACAAAUCCUAAUCUAUCGUUGGAUUCAACAAAAACAAGAAGCAUAGACAAAAUAGAAUACCAGUAUAAUCAUUUUGCCAAAACAAUCAAAAUCUCAAAAAGAAAAUAAAUCUGCACUGCCUAUAUCAACUACGAACGGUCAAUAGAUUUUAACACACCUCGAAUUGUUCCAAUGUAGUAUAAGAUCCAUUUGCCAACUUCUUCCGCACGGUGGCAAAGUCCAUGGGAUUAUCAAUGACAUCAUGAUAAUCAGGAAGCUGCAACGAGGAAAAGAACUGAAUUUCCAACGCAGAUUGCAUUCAAAUAUCAAGAUAAAUAAUUUACGGAAAGAAAAAUCCACACCUCUUCCGGAUCAACUGGCUCAGCAUACACACCAUAUGUGUCCUUCCUGCCAUCAUCCAAGUUAAGAAAACAAACAACAUAAAACACUUCAUCAUCAUCAAAAAUACAAAAGAGCAGAAAACAGGAAUAAAAAAAAACCACUUACUUUUGAAGCUUGUCAAGGAUCAAUUCAAGGGUCCUCUUAUCUGGCAACGGCAACGGAAUCCCGGACAGAGCCUUCAAAGGGGUUCCUAACAGUGGAGACAAAAAAGCAAGAUGAGAAGCUCAAUUACCAAGGCGUUUAAUAAAAAAAUCAUAAGUGCAUGUUUGAUAUCACGAUGGUCUGCCGAAAUCACGAUGAUAGUGCCAAACUCACCGUGAAUCCAACCGUGCACCGUAAAAAGUGAGAAAUUUAAGAAUUACAAAAGAAACAACAAAUCAGAAACACAAACCUGUAACAGAGUGGAGCCCUUUAGAAUCAUCCACUUUUAUACCCUUUACCUGUCACAAGAAAAACCACACACACCAAGAAACACAAACACACAAUUAAUAAUGUUAAUCUAAAACCGUUAAAAAAGAAAAGACUAACAAAGAGUGCGAUGCGAUUAAGACAGGAACAGAGACAGAACAACAAUGCGUAGUUUAAGGUUAUAGUUACAGACACAUAACCAUAGAUAUAGUUAUAAAUAGAUAUGGAGAGAGAAAACGAAAGCGUAAUCAAAGAAACUCAACAUGUGUGUGUGUGUUAGUUUUUGACAGUUGACCCGUUAGUUAUCUCUCCCCAAAAUCCCGACACACAGACAGAGAGGGUGAAAGAUAGAGAGAGAAAAACCUAGAGAGAGAAAGAAGAUAUAAAUUGAAUAAUGGACCAAUUGGUAUCAUUCAUUCAUCUCCCAACAAAAAAAAUCUCAGUGAUUUUCGCUGACAUGGACACAAACACAUACACACGCUUUCUUCCUUAAACCCCACACAACCCAACCACACAAAUCCAAAACCAAAUGCAUUUUCAUUUUCACUAUUUACUUUUCAUUUUUCAAUUUUAUUUUCAGUUUCAGCAUAUGAACCACCAACACAGACACCGGACACAAACUGACACAGACACCGGAAGACAGCGACACCGAUAGAUGAAAAUUGAUGCCAGUGAUCCAUUUGAGAAAAUUAAUUAGUUGAAUGUAAUCGCAUGCUGACACCAACAUGUCUUCGAUCAGAAGUGUCAGUGCUUUUCACAUACCUCACCCCUAUCAGCUUCACCUUCUUCUUCAUCAUCUUCAUGUUCUUCAGCAUUUUCAUUAUCUCCUUCAACUAUUUCUUCUUCCUCUUCUCUUUCAUCUUCUUCAUUUUCCUCAUCCUCUUCAUCAUCAUCAACCCUAUCUACACUUUUUCUUCCAUUUUUCCGUUUCUUAAACUCAGGCGCGUGUCCCACACGCGACCUACCGCGACUGGUCUUCAAAUCCUCUUCAUCAUCCUCAUCUUCUUCCUCAUCCACACCCUGGUUCAACUUCUCAACAAGCUUCAACUUCUUCUUCUCUCUCCUCCUCUCAUCUUCAUCUUCUUCUUCCUCCUCAUCCUCAUCAAGAUAAUCAUCAAAGUCAAUGAUAGGAUACCUCACAUUCCGCCGCCGUCGACUCCGUCGUAAGUCAGAUUGAGUCGUCGACGGAGAUUGACCGGAACGGCGAGCUAGAUCUGCUUUAGAAGGUCGUCCUUUCUUCUUCCUCCUCACGAUCUGACCCAUGCUUGAGUUUCUCUCUCUAGAAAUGUGUUUUUCUCUCUCUCUCUAAAACCCUGUUUGGGUUUCUCUCUCUUGCUUUGGGUUGGGUUCCAUUAAUUUUUUGAGUGUGAGUGAGUGGGUGUGUUUUGGCUUUUUUUGUGACCGAGCCUCGGUUUCUAGACACGGACCUCAGGUUCGGAUCAGGUUGAGCUUUUCAUGACUCUCACUCUUUUCUUUUUACUCUUUCUUUAUGGCUUAAUUAAUGCUAUCACUUUUCUUUCACAAAAAUGGCUUAAUGCUUUUUUUCUUUAUAAAAAAAAUGGCUUAACAUUUUAUUUAUACAAAUCUAAAGUUAGUGUCUAGUUCAAGGAAUGAAAAGAAGACAAAACUAUUUACAAAAAUUUAUAUUUACUUUGCUCUAAAGGCUCGAAAUUGGAAUAACGAUUGUAUUUGAUCUCUAACAUAAAUUAAUGGUUUUUUCUAGAUUACCUUUGAAAAAUGGUGGGUAAUUUACCCACCAACCAAUGAAAAUGAGCAAUUUGUUGGUGGGAUCAAGAUAGUUCAUGGAUACCGGUGCUUAUGUGGCUAAUGUGUAUUGGUUGGGGUAAAAUUUUUUUUUUUGAACAAAUCAAAAUGAAAUAUAUUGCUCAAAAGAAGAGUGAUUCACCCCGCAUAAGGUGUGCUAAAACGAUGAAUCACUCAAAGUCUGAUACAAAAACUAGGUGACUGACACAAACCCAAGUCAUCAACAACUAAAAAUAAAAAAAUUAGGCAGCCCCUAUACAAAGAAGUGGGUGCCUCCACCAAUCAUGAAAAUCAAAUGCCAAAGUUACAGAAUUUGACGAGAGCCAUAAAAAAGAAUUCAGCUUCACCUUUUCGACAAUAUUGUAAGGAUCAAUUACUGUAUCUUUGAAUAAGCAGUUAUUUCUCUCCUUCCAUAUUGCACAUACACAGGCAAGCCAAAUAACCUUAAGAUAAAAAUAUGAAGCUCGUGGCAUACCCACCAAAUGAGUAAACUGAAAGUAGUGAACCGCAACCGAACCUGGAAGAACAUAAGAAAUACCAAUCCAGUGACAUAAAAAAUACCAAACUUUUCCAAACAAUUCACAACCUAAAACAAGAUGCUCCGCCGUCUCAAUGAGACCACAUCCUCCAACACACAAAGUGUCAGAAGCUUGAAGAACAUGUCGACGCGCCAAAUUUGACCUUGUCGGAAUUCUAUCUUUCAAUAAACGCCAUGCGAAAAGAGACACUUUUGUAGGAACCAAUUUAUGCCACACAUAUGUGUUUGUAGCAACCGCAUCCGGAUCCUCUAAAGAUGUUAGGAAACGGUAAGUCCCACUAACCGAAUAUCCGUGAAUAGGAUCAAGCAACCAACACCAGUUGUCCUGUGAAUUAACCUGCAAAAUAAUGUUAUGCAAUAAAUUCACACACUCCCUCACACUAUCCUCCUCCCAAGCAAACAACUGUCGUCGCCAUCUCCACCCACCUCCGCCUUCCCCACCAUUCUUCCAUGGAUACCCUAGUUGUCACCUAAAUUAAUAUGUCAAUUAUUCAAUUCACAUAAAAUGUCAAUUGUUUGUUAUAAUAAGAUAAGGAUUUGCUCCAAAAAAAAAAAGAUAAGGAUAAAUAAAAGUAUUUGAUUAAAUUUUUUGAAAUAAAAAAUGUUUUUUUAAUUCAAAAUAAAAUAAUGUUUAGUUUGUGAUUGAACAUGCAGUGAUAUAAAUUGAUUUAAAUGAAUUGAUUUUAUAAAAUUAAUUUUAGUUAAAAGUGAUUAGAAUAAAAAUGAUUUAUGUGUUCAUAUAUUCAUGUAGAAAAUCAAAAGCUACAAAUUGAAACUAAAGACACUUAAUAUUAAUAUAUGUUAUUAUUUUUGUUUGAAUCGGUUAUCAUAGGUGUAUAACUACAACAUUAAUCAUUCGAGUAAAGUAGAACGUACUAGAUGACAAAGUUCUCCAUCAAGAUAUUUAACACCAAUGUAUUUACAUAAUUAGAUUUGAACAUUGGGGUUUUAUUUAACUCUGGAUUUUUGGGUCUUUGUUAUUGGAAUCAAAUUAGAAUAAUAUGUUAGUGUAUAAUUAUUUUACAUAUACAUUUGAUAAUUUGUUGUAACGUUAAUUAACGAAUAUGAAAUCACAUAAGUGGUCAUAUUCUUUAAUUAAUAUGACGACGCAUUAUUUGAUACAUGUAUGAAAUAACUCACUUACAUAUUAUACUAAUUAAAUUUAUAUUAAUAUAUUAUAUGACGAUAAAAUAAAUAUAAUAUGUCGAUAUUAAAUUCAAAUUUUGGGACUUGAGUAUGUCGGCGUGAAACAUGAUCAAUGAAUGAAAAUGACGGCGUUUUGUGCUGCUUGUUGCCCGAAACUCCCUUUGCGUGUCCCUUUGCCUGAUGCGGUGCUGCCCACAUCUUCCAUCAUUUUUACGUUUCUUCACACAAUUGCAAAACGUUACCUUCACCGGCUCACACUUGUGGCACGUAAAACCCACCUUCGCUUAAACAUCAACAUGGUACUUUUUAUUUUUGGUAAUUCAACCUACCAUACUUUUUUUUUAGGAAUCAACUUACCAUACUUAAUUUCAGUCAAAAAAAAGAAAAAUCAGACAUAAAUGCAUAAUUUGCAUGUAGGGAAAAUACACUAAAAUAAAAUGUAGAUUUCAUUUUUUUAUUGAUAUGGUGAAAAUUAACGAAAAGAUGUGUUGAGAUUCUUAUUCUAAUUUGUGAUGAUGAUAAAGUUAAUGAAGUUCAAGUUUUAAUUUUUUUCUUCAUUUGAAUUUUGCAUUUUUAAUUAAUUUAUGGUAUAUAUUUAUGUAUUAUAUAUGAUUUCAUUUGAACUUUGAAUUUUUAAUUGAUUUAUGGUAUAUAUCUUGUGUUUUAAUUUUGCAUUAAUUUGAAUUUGUGCAUUAUUAUAUUAUUAAAUUUCACCUUUUACAAUAUUAUCUUUGAUCCGUUGAAAAUACUUUUGAAUUAUAUUAUUAUAUAUGAUUUUUCUAUUUUAUCAAAAGAAAAAAGUUAAAUUACAACGGAAGUCCUUUUAAGUCAUUGAAUGAAAAAAAACACCACAAAAUUGAAUGAAUGGUUAUAUUUAGACACCUUUAAUUUUUCAACACACAUUCGUUAUAUUGUUUCCUAUGUAUAUCUUUAUUCAAAUCACAUCACAAACCUAUCACUUUACUUUCUUAAUUUUUUUUCUUUAAAGUGUAGACAAAAAAAAAAAAGGUAUCCAUAGGUCAAUUUUCAUAUUGAAUAACAUAGUGUUAAACCUUAAUUGAAAAAGUACUAUAAACCGAUCAAUUUAAGAUUUCUUUCCAUAUGCUCUCAGAACAUUCACAGUCAAGAAACAACUGCUAUAUGGUUACUCAUAUCUCACAACCACCUGAGUUUGGUAUUCAAAAUCUCCAGGUGAAUGGAGACACUCGUGUUGACUUAUUCCAAAUGAUGCAUUGGAUUAGUUAAUCACCAUUUGAUCCCAAAAUAUAUGUACUAAAAAACAUGUAUAUGUUCCGUUCACGGAAUAUUGAUUAUCAUGGUCAAGCUUCCAAACUCAUUUGUUGGAAAUAUUAUCAUGUACGUAAUAAAAUAUCCAAAGAACAAUGUAAUAAUGAUUCAAACUCCAAAACAAGUAAACUCACUAUGUGUCCACAGUUAUAAAUUUAAUAUGAACAAAUUGCAUGUAUCACGAUUUCAUCCUCACCGUCAAAAACUUACGUGUGUUAAUCAUUUUUGCGCUCCUUUAACUUUUAUCUUUGUUUUAAAUAACAUUAAUGGUUGUGAUGAUUAAUUUUAAGAACAUGCAUGGCGAUAUGAUCCUGUGAAAAAUUGUAUUUAGGUGAUUAAUUUUUUCAAUAUGCUAAUACUAUAUUAUGGAAUAGUAUACUAGGUUUUCUUCCUUCACAUACUUCACCUUUUCUUCCAUCUCUUCCAUCACCUUUUCUUCCAUCUAAUAAUGGAGUGUCAAAACUUAUGUCUCAUUAUUUGCAGAAUUGAGUUUUGUCACUGCCACAUGAUUCUUGAGGCUUGCCUAAGAAUUUUGAUUGGAGGGAUGUACAUGGAGAGUUAACUCCGGUAUGAGAUCAAAAACAAUGCAGUUAGUGUUUUUGUUUUCAUUCUUUUUGUGAAAGAAAGAUACUGAUUAGUGUUUGUAUGAAUUCUAACUAUAUUGUUCUAACUAUAAAAAAUGUGGUUAGUGUAUUUGUUUUCAUUCUUUUUGCAAAAGAAAGAUACUAAUUAGUGUUUGUAUGAAUUCUAAUUAUACUCUUCUAACUAUAUUGUUACACAUCUUGUUCCGUAUUCCUCAUACAUAAGUUUUACAUUUUUAAAAACAUGCAGAAAUCAAGUUGUGUUGAAUAUUAGUAUAGAUAAAAAAGACUCAAAAUAUACGAAUCAACUCACUUUGAGAGUUGCUAAAAGAAAAUGUUGUUUCUUGAGAUAUCAAUUACAUAUGGAGAAACUAACAUAUUUAGACCUAUAAAAUAUGUCGUAAUUACAAAAUGUACAAAACUUAUGUUUUAUAAAAUAAUAAGUUAGAUACAUUUGAAGUUACUUACAACUCGAAUGAGAAACUAUUUAUUUUUUUUUAAAUACCUCAUACAUAAGUUUUACGUUUUUAAAAACAUGGAGAAAUCAAGUUAUGUUGAGUGUUAGUAGAGAUAAAACAAAUACUCAAAAUAUACAAAUCAACUCCCUUGAGAGUUGGUAAAAGAAAAAGUUGUUUCUUGAGAAAUCAAUUACAUGGAGAAACUAACAAAUUUAUACUUUUAAAAAAUGUCGUAAUUAUAAAAAGUACAAAACUUAUGUGCAUUUUCUUAUGUGUUUUUUUGUGCCUAUAAGAAAUUUUGAGAAAAUUAUAGAUUUAAGACAUCAUUGAUAGUUAUGAAUAUUAUAUGUGAAGCAAGAUGAAGCAACAAGCCUACAAAACAAAAGACAUGUGAAUGAAAGAAGUAAAUGUGAUUUCAUUAGGAGAUUUUACACACCACACAUAUCACACACAAUAACCAGUUUAAGAUAAAAAAAAUAAAAUAAAAAGGUGUAAAUAAUAAUAAACACUAAAAAUUGAAUAAUUGACAAACUGAAGACUUAAAAAUGAUAAUAAAAAUACAAGAGCAUCUCCAAAUGGAGUGUGAAAGAAUUUUUCAUAAAUUUGUGCCUUAAUUUUUCAUUCCAUUAGAGGAACUUGAUGAAGUGAGUAUCAUAAAAAUUGUUAACACAUCUUAAAUAAAAUAAGGUAUUCUACAAUUCUACCCCAAUUUGUAUACAAAAUUCACCUUAAAAAGUAACAAUUGUGAGAAAAUUAGAUUAGAGGAAAAAUAAUUUAAAUCUUAAAUGAAAAAUUGAGAGAAGAGAAGGAAUAAACAUUGAAAAUGAAAUGAAAGUAAUAACAGUUUGAAGGGCAAAUAUCACAUGUAGUCCUUUAAAUUAGAUGUUUAUGAUAAAUUAAUUUUUUUUUUGAACAAGCUAAAGAAUAAGUUAAGAAACCACAUUCUACCCUACACAAGAAGUGCCUAGAAAGAACAUCAAAAGUUAAUUGCAAAGUCACCACAAAGAAUAUGUCUAAGGAAUAGAGAGAAUAAAAGGAGAAAAGCUACGUAGCGAGUAGCGAGGCCCAUGCACAAUAGGGAUUAAGCCACCAAACAUAGUAAUCAAAAGCAAAAGUAGAAUCUUUUGCCUUGAACGCCAAUAAAAUUGCAACUUAAUUUUAUCUAACAAUUGGGGUAGUUUAGCUUCUUUGUUGUCGAAAAUUCUUCUAUUUCCUUUCCUUCCAUAUUAUCCAAACACAAAACAACCAAAUCAUAUGCAUAAAAGACUUAGAAGAUCUAUGAAUUCCACCUGUCUAUGAAUUCCAAACACAAAACAACCAAAUAAUUGAUUUUUUUUUUUGGUCAAUGCAAAUAACCGAUUUAAUUGCAUAUUAUAUAAAGUUUUUUUUUUUUUUUCCGAACAUAUGUAAAAGCUUUUACUUUGUGCUUAAGGUAGCUUAUAAUUAUUACUACAAUAUACUGCAUAGUAUUUCGAUGUGUGCCCCAUGAUUUCGAUAUUAUAUAUACACUUUUGUGAAUGCUUUCACUUUCAAUAAACUAACUAAUUAAUUGCAUAUGGCUGUCACGUGAUUAUCAGCUACAUAAAAAUUAAGAUCAUAAAGCUUACAAAAUAUAAAAAAAUAGACUGUCCUAGUUGGAUCAUUAAAAUUUUGCUCCAAAACACAAAUUAAUCUUACUUUUGACAAUGACAACAUUUGUAUAGACCAACAUUAAAAAAUGUUAUAAAAAAAUAACAUUAAAAUAAAAAAUAAAAAAUAUAAGUGGGUGGAGAAUAUAUUCUGGAGUGCUCUCUUUGCAUACUUUGUUUCACUAAACCACUAGAUCAAAUCUCUUCUUUUCACACGCAAAUUGACGUGUACCACUCAUUGAUAAAGUUUUGGAAUUGCUUUAAAUCCAAAAACAAGUUCAAUUAAGCAAUCACAUAGUAAUAUACAAGAUGGGUUUCAAAGCUUUACUUGUGUGUUCCUUUGUACUAUUUUUCUAUAGCUAUGGUUUCUCAAUGGCUCAAAUGGUUCCAGCUGUUUAUGUUUUUGGAGACUCACUUGUAGAUGUUGGAAACAAUAAUUACUUGACUCUAUCUAUUGCCAAGGCAAAUCAUCGUCACUAUGGUAUUGAUUUUCUUAAUCACAAACCAACUGGGAGAUUUAGCAAUGGCAAAAAUGCUGCUGAUUUUAUUGGUAUGAUUCACAAUUCAAUUGAUUCAACUAGCUUUUCAAAUAUAUAGUCAUGUGUUGAUUAUUACAUAUAUGAUAUCUUUGAUGAUAGCAAUCUUGUUAUCGUUGAAAUUCCAAAAUCAUCAAAUCAUAUUUACUACGGUCUCAUUAGCCUCUAUUAGUGAUCAAAUAGCUAAAAUAUUAUAUCUAUUUUUUUUAUAUACUUUUGAAAAUAUAAAUUUAUCAUGUUGUAACUUGCUAACUAAUCUACUCAUUUAAAACUAAAUAACAUGUACAAGUAUGUUAGUAAUAUCCAAUAAUAUGUGUGUCUAUCAGAUAUUAUACUUGUUUUUUAAUAUUAUUCUUUUAAUUUAAAAAAUAAUUUUUGCGUCUAUUGGAUAGAUAUUUCAUGGGGUCAAAAUAAGCCAUAUUUCUUUUUUGCAAUUUUUUUCUUCAAAUAAACUCUUGUGAUCGACUUUGAUUUGGUAUACUGAGAGUGGAAAAAACAUACUGUACUUAAUUGCAUGGGAUUCAGAAAUAGAUGGAAUUGCUCAACAAACUUGAGAAAACUUAAAAAACUUUAUUUCCUAUUGCAAAAACAUAAAAAGAUUUUUUUUCUUCUUCUAUAAAACACGAUAUGACCAAAAUAAAAACAAUAGAAAUAUAAGUACAUGCAUACAUACAUGUAAAGUUCAAGUGUUAAUGUCAUUAUUAACUUCUGAUUAAUUUAAGUUCAUUUAACAAAAAAUCUGAUUAUUUUAUUGAGGUAUGGACACUAGUAAAUUAUUAUAGACACGUGUACUGACAAUAGAGUUUCCAAUUCAUUCUAUUCGUCUUUUUCUUAUGUUAAUCGGUUCUAUUUGUCUCAAACGAAAAUAUAUACGAUUAUAUUCCAAAAAGAAAAAUUGUAUAUGAUUAAUUUGUUGGGUUGCAGGUGAGAAAUUGGGUUUGGCAACUUCACCACCUUACCUCUCCUUAAUAUCAAAGGGUAACAAAAAUGAAAAUAAUGCAUCCUUCAUAAAUGGUGUUAGCUUUGCUUCCGCAGGUGCUGGAAUAUUUGAUGGUACAGAUGAACGCUAUGUAAGUCACCAAUUUUAUAUUCUUUUGAAUGAAGAAUAAUAUCGUUCUCAUUUUGUUCAACCGAAUCAAUUAUCAAUCUGAUUUAGUUAGGACAAAUAAUAUCCUAAAUAAUCUUUUUUGUCAAAAAAAAUAAAAUCCUAAAUAGUCUUUGACAUUUUUAUUUUUAUUUAAUAAAUUAGCUUUUAUGUUAUAAUAAAUCGUUUAGAUCGUGAGAAAAUUAUGAAGGAUUAAAUUGGAUUUUUGAUAUUUCUUGUAGUAGCAAAUUUCAUUUUAAUUUUCAUAUAUUUUUUUCAUAUUUUUUGUACUUAUAUAUAAUAUCCCAAAUAGAGGUGGGCCCAUAAGUUAGGUUUGCAAGACAAAGUCAAAGAUUGUUGUUUAUCUCUAGAGGAUGUGGGCCCUUAUGAUAGUGACAUGGAUCACUUUACGCCAGCACAAAAAAAUUAAAAGAAAAUGAAAAAAAUGUUGGUAGGUAUGCGGUGAGCGUGGAUCGAACACGCGACCUUCAGAUCUUCAGUCUGACGCUCUCCCAACUGAGCUAUCCCCGCUUGAUGGUAAUUUUACAUUCUUAAUAUUUUUAUUUGUAGAGACAAUCGUUACCGUUGACAAAGCAAGUGAACUAUUACACAAACGUGUAUGAGGAACUAAUAAGAGAAGUGGGAGCAAGUGCUUUACAGAAACAUCUCUCAAAAUCAAUUUUUGCUGUUGUGAUUGGAAACAAUGAUCUCUUUGGAUAUUUUGAGUCAUCAGAACUUCGUAAGAAAAAUACCCCACAACAGUAUGUUGAUUCCAUGCUUUUCUCACUCAAACUGCAACUACAGGUAACAACACAUAAAUCAUCAUCAUGCUAAUUAUUUAGUUACAUUGUAUGUAAAAAUAGUGCAUUUAAUCUCUUAACAAGGAACAUUUACUUUUAGUUAUACAGUUUUUCCUUAAGUUCCUGUUACACUUACACAUGUCGUACCAAUACUUUAAAUUAAAAGCGUGUUCAUUGUCAUACACAUGUUAAUAUCAAUACUAACACGAUACGACACAUGUAAUUACUAUUUCCAUUUUUAAUGUAUAACUGGUGUUGACAUAUUAGUGCUGUGUCUAAUCAUCGUGUCCGUGCCAGUGAUUGAUAUGUUGUAAUUUAUUUACAUGACAAGGAUGCCUAACAUGCAACAAUCUCAAAAGAGUCCAACUUCAAAUCCGUUAAAGUGGUCCGACGCACAUCAUUUCCUAGUAUAUUUUUUUGACUCAUAAAUUCCUAUUAACUUAUGUAUAUAAGUAAAUUCAUCACUCUCAUCAAAUAGGCUAUAAGUUUACUGUAAUUCGUUUCAUGGCCACCUUUAUUAAUGGUGUACAUAUAGUUGAGCCAUAUCAUUUACCAGCCUAUUAUAUUCUGUUAUGCUUGCUUAGAGGAUACAUUCUUAUUUAUGUUUUUAAUUUUUGCAGCGAUUAUAUGAUAAUGGUGGGCGUAAAUUUGAGAUUGCGGGAGUCGGAGCACUUGGAUGUUGCCCUAUGUUCAGGCUCAAGAACCAAACGGAAUGUGUUGUAGAAACCAAUUAUUGGUCUGUUCAAUAUAACAAAGGUCUUCAAUCCAUGUUGAAGGAAUGGCAAUCAGAGAAUCAAGGCAUAAUCUACUCUUACUUCGACACUUACGUCGCCAUGAACGACCUCAUUCAAAAUCCAGCUUCCUAUGGUAUUACUUACUAUUUGCUUAGUCUCCAAAAUCUCUCCGUGACACCGUGAUUUUGUAGAAGUUAUAGAGUCUAACUUUGACUAAAAUCACAGUGACUCACCUGAUUUGGUAAUCAUCACAUCCAAUUCAAACAUGCACUAAUUUAUACUAAUUAGCUUAGACAUAAUCAAUUCAUUAUGCCAUAGGACAAAAUGUAAUAAUUGAUCAUACAUGCUAGUUUUAUUUAAUUGUAAGGUUUUGUGAAAUUUGGUGCUAAAAUGAGUUUAUGAAUCCAUUUCAGGAUUUACAGAUGUUAAAGCUGCUUGUUGUGGACUAGGAGAGCUAAAUGCCAGGGCUCCUUGCCUGCCUGUGUCACAUCUUUGUCCCAACAGACAAGACCACAUUUUCUGGGAUCAAUUUCAUCCUACAGAGGCAGCUUCGCGUAUAUUUGUGGACAAAAUUUUCGAUGGUUCUUCAACUUACACUUCUCCUAUUAACAUGAGACAGCUAGUAGCAGCCUGAAGUUGGCUAUAGACGUGGAAAUAGGUCAAGCGAACUGACAGAUGCUUACAACCUAACCUACGUCAGGCCAUUGGCAAUCAAUUUUUCACUUCAAAUGAUAUUUUUUUUGUACAACCAAAGGGAAAUUGUAGACUCUUCGACAAACUAUAGCGUGUUUCUGACAUUCAUCUUCUCUUGCAAAUACAUUAGGAUGAUAAGGCAAUUCAAAUGCUUUUACUCUGACUUUUGCUCUGUGAUUUGAAAGAGUUCAAAAAAUAUCAAAUUCCAUCCCACAAGAGCAAUCUUUAGCAACACAUUUCUCAAAAAAUUUAAUGAUUCCUCAAAAUGGCAUUACUUGCCCAGAAAAUAAUCAAAGAUUUUACCAAAUGCCCUUAUGUAUCCCAUGUCCUAGUGUCUUAGUUUUCGAAAGAGAUUUUGUUUUUUGAAAAAAAAUUCAAAGGAGAUUUAUCUGGAGCAUUUUCAUCUUUUUUUCUCUCUUCGUCAAAGGACUAGUACACUCAUUGACCGUCUCCUCAUCAUCAAGAGUCUCCACACGGCUUGGAGGAGUCUCCGAAUUCAUCUCUUGACCUUCAACAUUCUCAUGCACAUUCCCACAUUUCGACAAGGCGGUGAUGAGAAAUAUUGAGCUUCAGAGUGAACAUCGUGAUCCUCUUUCUCCUCCUCACCAUCAUUACUUGUAAAAUUACCUUGUCACUAGUAAUAAUUGCAUACAAAAACAAAAUUAUAGUGAAAUGAUAACUAAGUACUUAAUAAAAAAUUAUAAACUACGAAUAGAAAAACAUUGCUAAUGAUUGUUCAUCUGAACCAUUGUUGGAUACAUUAAUUUCAUUAUGUUCCUCCCUCUGCUCCUCCUCCAAUAUAGGCUGUAGAGACUUUAAAUCAACUGGCGGUGAAUUUUCUGAAGGAAAAACAAAUUAUAAUAAAAUAACCAAGCAAUUCAGAAAGUCAUAGAUAAAUAGAUAACUUUAACAAAUAAGGAAUUAUAAAUUAAUAGAAAUCGUUAUACCAAAACAAGCUAGUUAUUGAAAUAAAAAUAAUAAUCAUUAAGCAAAACAACACAUGGUCCAUCAACACAAACCAUGCACUUUAACAUUAUUAAUUUAAGGGUCUAAAACGAUACUACCUCCGUCCCUAAUUAUAAGAUCCUUUUGAGAAUUUUUUUUGUCCUUUUUUAUAAGACCCCUUUUCUAUUUCCAACUACAUUAAUUAUUUCUUUACAUACAUGCCCCUAUUUAUUAUACAUCUUUUUCUUCAAUCAGCAAUAAAUAGAAUGUUGAAAACAUAAGCCAACUCUCUUUCUUAAAGGAUAAAAUUGUAAAAACAAUAGUAAUUACAAACAUAUUUAAUACAAAUAUCUACUAUAUUAAUUCCCGUUAUUUUUUCAAAAGGCCCUGAUAAUUAGGGACGGAGGUAGUAACUUUUUUAUAAAAAUUUGUGUAUUUAAUACAUUGGAAUUUGGAAGUUGAACUAUUUGACCUUUUUAAAUAAUAACUUCCUAAUUUAGAAUGUCUAAAAAGUAUUCGAGGGCACCCAUUAUUGAUCGUUUUUACCUACACCAGGCUGAGAGUGAGGAGCCUCUGAUCUCAUCUCUUGAUCUUCAACAUUCUCAUGCACAUCCUCCACAUUUCUUCAAGUUGAAUCAUAGUUACCAUGGUUGAAAAUUUCAUUUACUUCAGUUGUCAAUCCUAAAGCCAAUGAUUGAGUAACUAUCAACCGAAUCAAAGUGGUUCAAUUGGUCUUUGUUUGUUUUGCUUAUAUCAAUUGAUAACAUCUAUAGUUUGUAUCAUAACAUCAAGUUAACUAUUUUUGUAUGAUAAAUAUCAAUUAGAAACUAUCAAUUCUUUUAGCUGGAAAACCUUAUAGUGUGUUUGGAUGGAGAAAUGUUUUGAGGGAAUUCAACUACUUUGAGUUAAAUUCAAACAAUAGAAUUCACCUUAAAUAGUUGAAUUCCCUCAAAACAUUACAUUCCCUCAAAACAUUCCCCCAUCCAAACACACUCUUAGGAGACCAUUGCAUUCAAGAUAUUCCACAUUUCAGUUGCAGUCGUCAAUUAGAUGAUGGUGGAUGUGAUGUCUUUGGAUAUGGAUUAGAUCUUUAAUUUCCUUUCCUUAAUUGAUUUUAAAAAAGAUUUUAUAGUGUCCGUAAUUCAAAAGAGAAAAGUAAGUCCUCCCCUCCAAAAUCCAUCAAGAAAUACCAUAAAAAACCAAACAUACAAGUUAAUAUAUGAAUCCAAGCAGUAAACAAAAUAGACAGAGGAAAUAAAAAAGUCAAUAAGGAAAGCAUAUAUAUACACUCCUUGUUGAAAACUAUAAGCAAAUGCCUUGGUUAUGAACUUAUGAUGUAUCAGGAAUUGCAGAAUAUAUCCUCGAAAAAAAGGUUCAAGUCACCAUUGUCAACAUCGAAUUUCAACAAUUUCUCCAUAGCGUCCUGCAUGAAACAUGUGUAUGUGAGUAAAUGAUAUCCAAAAUGUAACAAGUAUCUUUAAUUUGACUUUUGAAACUGAAAUGAUACCUUGUAUUCAUCAUCUUGAGCUGAGAUGUUCUCAUUGCAUAACCUCUCAACACAAUUGUUUUUUGAAACAGCGUCCAACACAACUGCUGCUCUUUUUAUAAUUUCGUCUGGCACGCCUGCAUAAAUGAUGCAGCUUGAUGAUCUAUCAGAAACUAUGUGGAAAAAUCGGACUCAACAUAUUCAUCACAUUACUAAAAAGGUAAAGUAAAAUAAAUUAAAGAAUAUACUGUGUUCAGUAUCACACAUACCAGAAAACACAUCCACCUAAUAUGAAUAUGUUUAGUUUCACCUUCAAAGUAAAUUUUAGUCUCUAUUCUGUAUAGAGUUUUGUUGACUGGCCUCUUCUGUACAGAUUUCAUUAAUGAAAUAUACUAGCAACACAUCAGCACACCCUCUCUUAUAAGUUAUAUAACUUAUAUUGGUUUAAAUUUAUGAGUUUAACCAUAUUUAUGCGCAGCCCACAUGAUUUAAUGGAAUUGAUUUAAAUUUCAACCAAUGAGAGAUAGACAUAUAGUGUGUUAAGAAGAGUGCAUUGGAGAAUGUAGCUAACGCUCAUCUUCACCAAUCUGACUUUUGAUCUCUACAACAGUAUCUUUAUUUAUUUGGCUUUUGGUCCUGACAACUAAUACCUUGUUUGUAAUAUUAGAUUAUAUCAAUCCCUCUAGAAUCAAUUCAAGCAUUGCUUAUAGAAAAAUUUCCCUGUAACGUGUGGUUUUAAAUUUGGAGCCUGGUAGAAUAUUAUUAGAAACCUGAUUGUUUAAUCCCUCUAGAAUCAAUUCAAGCAUUGCAUAUAUUUUUUACAAUGAUAUCAUAACAAACAUAGGCAUUCAAGCAUCACCUUUUGUGUGUGUGUGUGUAUAAAUCUAUAUAAAAUGGUAAAUACGUUUUCUAUAACCUUUUUGAUCAGGUAAUAUUAUUUUUAAACAGUAUCUUGUAAAUUACCUGCAAGUAGUGCACAGUGCAGCCCUGCAGGAUUCCCAAAACAACACAUGUCAUUUCCAUCCAUUUUUCAAUUGAUAUACGAUACUAGUAAAGCAAAAGCAUACCAUAGCUAUGAUGCACAUGCCCAGGGACAAGCCUGCAGCAAUAUGAAAGUAAGUUAAUAGCAAAGCUGAAAUCUUCUCAGAUGCAGAACCAUUUUAAUUCCAUACUAAUUUCAAUAGUCUAGAAAGCACAAGGAUGUCAUUGAAUACUACCACUCAUGCACAUAAUAUUAUAUAUUAGGCUAUUAGCUAUCAGGAUGGGAAAAUAUUGAAACAAUGUAUGCUCAAAUAUAUAAAUUCUGGCUUCCAGUUUUCCAUGUCCAGAGUCUUCCAAGAAAAGGUUUGCAUUUUAUUAGGUUAAUAUUGGCCGCGGUGAGCAUAAAAAUUACCUGAUCAAGUAAAGUACAAUAGGGCAAUAGGUUUCUAUCAAAUUCACUGUCAUCAGAUGCCCUUAUGAGGUAAAUAUGAUUCCUAGCAUACUACAUUGCAGAAUCAACAAAAAGAUACCUAUAUAAAAAAACAAUAUCUUCGAUAUGAGUUGAAUCGUCUUCAGGCCUCAGUAUACUCAUUGUGUAGAACUUAAUUUGCUCAGACUGAAAUAAUCCAAUAAAACCAUAUAAACUAUCAUGUAACAAUCAAUUUAGAGUUUUAAAACAUCCAACUCCACCAUAAUGAACAAUUACAAAACCUUGGUCAAAGAACACCCGUGCAAUAAAUCCAUCAGAUGAGUGCACACGAAAACCUACAAAAUUCAUCCAAAAAAUGGCAAUUACAAUCUCUCAUGAGAAAGUGCUUCUUAGUUUACAAAAAGUGAAACAAGUAACCAUAACUACUUAUAUUCAUUUACAAUUUCUCGAUUUAUACAGUUAAAAUUUAAUGAAUAACUUGUAAAGAAAAUUUUAUAAAAAUAAUUUAAUAUUGAGUUAAAAAGUAAAACAUAUACGGAAAGUUAUCACAUUUAAAAUUAGAGGACUCAAAAAAGUAAUAAAUGUCAGUAAAACUAUGCAUCUUAAAGGAAAAUAAAUAGAAGUUAAGAGAUUGUCUCCCUUUCAAUAGUCGGUACACUAAUAUUUUUAUAUUGAAAUUAAUUUGAAGUUAGGUGGAUAGUUUGUCCCUAAAGUACAAGUUUGAUAAAAAGAAUGUGUGUGGGAAGAAACAAAUAUGAAUUUCAUACAAAAAAUAAUAAUCAAUAUGUUAAAAAAAAAUCCAUACCAUUUAUAUGAAAUUGUUCUCACAAUGUAUUUACUUUUAAGAUGAACAUAGGGUGGAUCUAUAUCUAAUCAUGCAAAUCUAAUUGAAAAAUGGCUUCCACCAAAGAGGCAAGGGCAGGCCAUAAAAAAGUAUUGAGAAACCGACUGGGCGUGGUCCAUCGCCAAAAUAGCAUAAUUAAAAAUUACAUCAAUUUUCAAAAUUGAAAGAAAAGCUAACAGGAAUUUCAAGAAUAUGUUAAACCUUUGGAGGUUCAUCACACGUGAUGAAGUGAUUUAUGGCCCCGGCAAGCAGACCAAUGCCAUCUGAGAGGAGAUCAAAACAUAUAUGCUAAAAAUUAGUUUCUUAAAUAAGGACAUGUAUUACACAUAGUAGACAUUUCAUCAACAUUGAAGAAACUGACCUUCUGUAAGAGUACCUUUACCAAAUUCAUCCACCAGACACAAAGAUCGUGAAGUAGCAUGCCUGCAGGUGCAGAUUUUCACCACAACAGCCAUAAUCAAAUCUUCUACUGUCACUUCAUUUCUAUCAUAUCUUAAGUUCGCAUAUGAUCUCUAAAUCUCUUUUAAUGAUUUGACUUAUUUUAUUUUUGUUGGCAUGUCUGCAGGUUUUGACUCCAAUAACAACAAUUAAACCUUUUACUAUCAUUACAUUUCUAUCAUGUAUUAACUUGACAUGUAACCUCUAAAUCCCUCUUACUGAUUUGACUUGUAUAUUUUUUGUUUCUCUUUGUCUCUGAGUAUUAGACUAUCCUCCAAAUCAUAUAAGACACUGUGAAAGAAAGGAUUAUACUGCACAGUAGUUCAAAUACUAGGUGAAUAUACAGAUUUAGCCCAUGAUUGCUUUUAAUUCAAUGUAUUACAGCUAUGCUUAUCCGUCUUUUUUUCCGCAUACCUCAGCAUCAUCCCAAUUUGAUGUAGAUCAAUCAUAAACGUUGAUUGUUCUGCUGUCAUAAGCCUGCUUCCUGUCGCACAAAAUAUUCUGCAGUUUUGAUCCCCAAAAAAAUCUGUUAACAUUAUGAUUGAAAUAGUUUAUUUUUAUUUUUUAAAAGAUAGAUUGUAAUUACUAAACAUACAAAGGUGAACUCCUAUCUCAUAAAAGACUUGGGAUACAAGAAAGUCAUACCUAUCUGUCAGCCCAACAGUUGCUGCAUCAGCUGGCACAAAACUACCAAUGUGGGCCAGGAAAACAAUAAUAGCCACCUGGCAAAGGAAAACACUUGGUUAUUGUUUUUUAUCCAUAGAUAAUCAGGGGCAAGGACCAUAGCAUCAUAUAGUAAGGAUCAAGUAUCCAAAAAAUACAUGGAGAAUAGAUUCUGUGUUCAACUACAAGACAUAAAAAUUGUUAGAGUGAAGUACAUAAACAGAGAAUAGAAUGUGUUAUUAAAGGAAAACAAGUAAAAAAGCAAAAUCGACAACCAAAACAGACAAGCUUGCCAAUCUCUGCCUAUCCACCAUCAGAAUUAAACCCCUUUGAGUACCCAUUGGCAAAGCACCAUAGACAGGCCAAGUAAAUAAAGUUAUUUUAAAUUUGUAAAUCCAAAAUAAAAUUGUAAUUGUCCAAAUAAAAUUGCCCUUAUUACUACUCAAACUUCUUUAUUGCAUGCGAAAAUGUCCCGUGCCCAAUGGACAAAUCCAGCUAGCAUAUUCACCAAAUGAUCCGAAGGACUGCGUCCAAUUGGUGUAAUAAUAUUUCAAAAUCAUAGGUAAAAAUACAUAACACUUAUGAUAAAACAGAGAGAUGUGUGACCUGCAAACCAGUAAAAAAUUCUUUAAUUUGUAUUUAUCACUUGUUAAAUUGGUAUAUAGGAGCCAGUAAUUCUUCUGGGAUUUUAUCUAUCAUACUAUGAGAUUUAUAUAGGAUCAGUAAUUUCAGACUGCAAUGGACUUUUCUGUUCCAAGAUUCAUAAACUGUUUGCAAAUGUAGCUUUUAGAGUUGUCAGAUCAGAUGAAUAACAACAACCAGCAUUGAUACACGUAACACUAAAAACAAUAGUUCUGAAACAUUAUUUGAACAUUACAAAUAGAGGUUAAAAAGAAGAUGGCCUGCCUCUUCAACAUUAUUGCUAUUCGAAACAAUAAAUACAAAUGCCAUAGAGAAGAGAAUACAUAUUCUAGGAAUAUAAAGAAUAAUAACUAAACACCUGUUUUAUAUAGAUACUCUUCCCAGAAAAGUUAGGACCAGUAAUGAUGUUAACUCUUCCUGAUAAAAAGAGUAAUUGAACAGGGAUUAAACAGUAAAAUUAUAGCAAUAAGGAUUUCUUGGACAUAAUUUAGCUAAUAUCAGUUAUGAAUAUCUACAUCUAUUUACCAUCAUGAAAAAUCUUAGUAUCGUUAGGAAUAAACGUGUCUACAGUCAUUUCCUGUAAAACAUGCCUACAAACAAAAACAAUUUUUUAUCAUUAAUCAUUUCAAUAGUUAUCCAUUUUCAAGAGGAUUUUUAUGAACCAGAUGCGUCGAACCUUCCAUUUUUUAUAUCGAGCAAGUUUUCUUCGGUCAAUACAGGUCUGACAUAGUUGUUCUGUCGAGCAACCAAAGCCAUCGACAAAAAACUGGAAAGAAAUUAUCAAUGAUGAAAUGUCUGGGAAAGCGCAUGUUAUUAAUAACAAAAGUUUAUCCUACCAGUCCAGUUCAGCCGCAAAAGUUGCCACCUUUGUCAAAUGGGUUGAGAACAAUGAUACAUGCGAAAACAAAUCUCUGGUGAUCGCCCUCUCCAUAUCUUAAACGACAGAAUUCAGAAAUAAUUAAGUAAAGAUUUGCACUAGAGACCAAGUAUUGCAACUCUAAAAGAAAACUCAAUAUUCUCUGUAAUGUAUCUUUGUAUAUAAAUAUACAAAUCUGCUUUUCUGAAUGAAUUUCGUCAAGGUUUGGAGCUAACUCCUUACAACCAGAGGCAUUUCCUCUGUUACUGACCAACAGAAGAUGCAGAACAAGGAAAUAAGUAGGAUAAAUAGACCCCCCCAAACACCCACACACACAGACAGGCAGAUCCUCUUUGUUCCCAAGGUUGAAUGCAGGGAAGGCCAUUACUAUCCUCACGUGUGUUCUCGUGAUCCGUAAAAUUGGACCACUUAAUUAAACAGUAGUGUUAUUCAAACAACUAAUAUUUGAAAACUUUUUUAAAGUGGUUAAUUACGUAUUGUAGAUGAUUAAUAGGUAUACUAGGCAUCAAAACUAAUUGACCAUCGGCGUAACUUCAUUAACCAUGAAAUUGAAUGUGAUUAAUCACAAUUUUAAGGUGUCCAAACAUCUGAAAAUUAUGAUUAACCAUCAAAUUUGUGGUUAAUGAAGUUAUGUUGAUGAUUAACGAGUUUCAACACUUGGCAUAUCAAUUAACCAUCUACUGAAGAUAAUUAAACACAUUUGAAUUGCAUUAACCACGUAAAGAAUUGUCACAGAAGUUGUCCAAAUUUGGUUGUAUGAAAAUCAUCUCUCCAAUUAAAAACUGUGAAGGUUCUACUAGGCAGCCUGCAUACAUCCAAUACUUCUAAGGGAACCAUACGCAACUCCCAAUCUUCAGUAAAAAAAUGUGGAGGUUGUUGGCAAGACAUAGCUUCUAGGAUCACUUUCUAAAGUUGCAGCAUGAGAGAUUGGAGGCACCCUGUUUUUUGAAUUUCCCUCAAUAGAACCCCCGAAAAGUGAAAAGAUAUCAGGGAAAUAUAAAAAAUGAUUUAACACCUAGAAUUUUAUGAUAGAUAUCUCCUAGAAGAUUGUCUAAUUCCCGUGUCUUUGGCAUACGAUAAAAGUAUCUUUUCGUCUCUCCAUCUGCAUCACCAAACUAUAUUUGAAAUGAUUACCAUCAAAAUAGAAUAUAUCGAUUAGAAUAAAUUACUUGAAUAAAAUGCAAACACCAACAUACAGUGUAUUCCCAUUCUAUAAGUUUCUCGAGAGUGGCUUCUUCAAGUUUUUCUUCAAAGAUGCACAUUAAAUAUCCUACAGAAAACAAAAACAAUAUGCAAUGAUAAAAUCUCAAGUGCUGUAAACAGUCACCAUGUAAUCAAGCCUGCAACAAUCAUGGUGCCAUGGGAAUUACCUAUUUUCUGGGCACAAAUAUUAUUCAGAGUCAGAAUUACCUAUUUGCUGUAUAUAAACAAUACAGGGAACAAGCUUGUUCUUGCAUAGAUCAGGGAGUUGUGCAAGUUCCAACGAUGAAACCUGCAAAAAAUGUAUCACGAUGAAUACACACAGCAUAUUUGUUUUAAUGAAUUAGAAUUUAGAGUUUUCAUCAAAGCUACCUCUUCCAGGAAUUCUGGCAAUUCCUCAUAUAUUUGCCUUAGCUCAUCCAACUUAGAAUAACCAAUUUAUCAAAAGUCCAAAAGUAAAAUGUCAGCCACAGUAAAACCAAAUUUUACCUUGUGAAGGAAGAAAAUUUAUGCAGUAGAUUAAACUUAAACAACUACGGACUAAUUCAUCUAUUGAACAACUACACAAAUACUUGACUGACAAUUUGAAUAAUACAUGAUUUUCCAAUUUGAAAAAUGCAUAUGCUAAGGGGAAGAAAAGAAUGAGGAGCCAGGGUUUAACCUCAUCACAGAAACCUUCUUUCACCACUGUCGGAUAUCCCUUCUCUUUAGUUCUGUUUACAUCAAUAACCCCAAUUAUCUGUAAAAGAUAGUCAGUUAUAACAGGAAGCCAAUUGAAGGAAAACUAACAAAUGUCACUCAUACUCAAACAAAAAAAUCAAAUAAGUUUCUACUCUCUAGAUUGUGUCAACAUUUAAGAUGUUUUUCUUUUUAAUCAGAUGCAUUUAACCACCAAAGCAUCAUCAUACACAAUUUAGUUUUUGCAUCUCAUUCUGGUAACUAAUAGGAGAUAAGAAAAUAAAAUGUACCAGCUCAUAGACAUAUGCAAGCUCCGUUGUUAUGCAUGAACUUGCCUGCAGUAUUGUUGAACAUUAAAAACAAUCAUUUAAGCUAGAAACUAUACAAGUGCACUUCCCUAAAAAAAUAAAAAAAUAAAAAUACAAGUGCACUUGAAGAGAAUGUAUGUAUACCAUCUCAACAAUAUCCAAGUUCAAGUACUUCAAUUCUUCUUGAAGACCUUCGGAAAUUCCAACUUCAAAUAUCUUGUUUACAUGCAGAAGUGCACUGAUACUCUAAGACGAUCAAAGAAAAGAAUAUAAAAACUGUGCUGUAGCAACCAAAAUGUGAUUUUCACUGCAAAAUUCAGUGACUCUUAGCAGUUUGAACUGCACAGGAUAUAUAUAUAUAUAUAUAUAUAUAUAUACUGUUCAUCCUAAGAGUAAAGGAAUCCUCUAAAAUAUACGAAACUUGCGCAUCAAAAUGGACUCAUUAAUUAAAGCAGUGCCCAAUAUGGAAAGCUAACCUAAUAUAUUUGGUUUCCUUUUAAUGCAAUGUUACUGCAUACCAAUGCCGAAUAUACUCAAAUCAUGACAAAAAUUAUGGAUAAUCCAGGAAAACUAUGAAAAAGAUAUUCCAUCCAUUUUUUCUUUAUAAAAAUUGACAUUUAAUUUAAAUAAUUGACAUAUUUAUAUGAUUGUUUAUAAAUCGCAUGAAGUAAAAAUUGAAGCCAGCCAAAUAGUUUAAUAUAUUAUUCAUUUUAUAAUUGACUGAUCAUUAACCACAAGACAAGAAGGGGGGAGGGGGGGUUGCUACUCUUUGGUUCCAGGCAACCAGCGACAGAUACAAACAAGGUGCUUACAAGUUUAUGCCUUUUUAUUAAGUGAAUUGGGGUCACAUAAAUAUUAACUCAAGAAACCUUUUACAUGUAGAAGCAAGCAUGGAUUCAAACAACACAAGGAAAAAAAACAAUGAUUGGAAAUCAAAUAAAGUCAUUAAAGAGAAAAUUACCUUCAGAAGUGCUGCCCAAUCAGUGCUAGUGCAUAUGGAGCUUGGAGAGUCAAAUUUCUUGAUCAAUUGAAAGUUAAAUAUUUGGAGGUAUAAGUUACAGAGAAAUAUGUUCAAAAAAUAUAUACAGAGAAAUAAACUUUCCCUGAACAGAGAAACAUCAUAUUCUUAAUUAUACUAAAAUGGACCAGCCUAUCUUCACAUAUCAAUGCAGCAUGUAAUAGUUAAAACUUAAAACAUCAGUUUCAACAUGAUAUCGAUAAUGCUCAAUAUAAUUGUUUUUUUUUUUAAAAAAAAAAAAAUCCAAUAAUUACCAAAAAUCAGGAGCAUACUCGUACUGUUUUUCAAUAAUCAGUUGGCCAUAAAAAAUCAGGAUCUAUAAAAGAGAGCUUACUAGAAGGACAACAGCAUAUUUGAGAAAUUUGGGGGGAGGGGAGAGAUUGUCAUACCUUCAGCAAGUGGGGAAUAUCCUUCACAGAUUUCAGGGUUUCACGUAAAGAAGCAACAAGUUCUUCUGAGCUAUGAAAGAAAGAUAUCUAUUUCUCAUCAAAGAAAAUCAGUUCUGUUUUACUAAAUAGCUAGUUUACCUACAAAUGUACAAUAAACUUGUUUUUUAUCACUUUAUUCCAACCUGAAACUUUUGAUUCAGCAGAUUUGUAAAGCAAAAAAGGCCAUAUGUGAUAAACUAUAAAAGGAUACAGAAUUCAAACGGUAGUUUAGAACUUCAAGAUCAAGUAUGGGCCUCAAGAACCACUGUCUGAAAUGGGAAUAAGACAAAAACAUCACUGUAAGUUUUGAUGUUUAAGAUGUAUAUGAAUUCAAUCUCACAAGUUUAAUAGUCGUUACUUAUCACCUUAAAAGACGUCUACCCAUUGGAGUGACACACUGCAUUCAGGAUAAACAAUUAUUUGUGAGUUGCGUGAAACUGGCACUCGCUAAAUUGAAUUAAACAACUCCAACAAACCUUAUUCAUCAUUCCAAAUACAGAGAACCUGCAAUUAAGAAAAAUUAUCUCAGAUAAUUAACUCAUUUUUAGAGUAUAUUAUAUAUAAGAUUGAGUCAGCAACUACCCUUCUUUUGCUCUACCAAUUCCCAUGUGGCUUGGGUGCUUGUCUAUCUGGAAUAUUUGUAAUGCUUCAUGAGAUGCUGCGUCAAGUUUGAUAAAGUUAUUUCUGCAUCUCCACUUUAAAGAAAGACACGGGUUGAACUCAACAUUAUCUCCUUUCAAAUAGCACAGAGUUGGAGAAUAAAAUAUGGAUAGCAUUUAAGGAUGAGUAAAAUGAGUGUAAGGAUACAGUGAAAUUUCUGCUAAAGAAUCUAUUGUAAUUGAUGUAUUUCCAGAUUCUUUUUGCUCAAGAGUAUCUACAAUCCUUUCAUUCUCUAAUAUUGCAAGAAGGCCACCACUAGCACGAACUUGUACUUCACUUCCCAUGUCCAUCAUGGAACUCAACUGCAAUUGUAAUAGGGCAGAAAUACAUGCAAUUCUGUUAAAGAGUAUUGCAUUGAUAUAUGGAAGGACCGGAACAAUGAUUCACAUACCAGACUUAAUCCAAGUAACAAAUAGUAGAAGAAUAUAUGUUUCCAUUAUUAAUCUAAGCAUGUGCAUUUAUAAGUAACAAUCUUAAGACGCUUUGAAGAUCGACUAUCAAGAUAUAUUGAGACAAAGAUGAUAAAUUACAGUAGUAGUAAUUUCAGACUCACAAAGUAAAUCCUUUCCUUGACAUCUAAUCCAUCAUCCAUUCCCGCCACCCGAAGGUAAAUUAAUCUGUAAAAGCAGCAGGGGGAGGAGGUGAAAGAUGAAGAAGCAAAUGAUUGCUGAAAUUUCAGCACUCCAUUUUUGUUUCUCUUUUUAUUUGAAUGAUUGGAUUGACAAUCCACCAAAAGAUCUCAUAGAAUAGACUCAUUCCAAAUCACAAUGAAAAAUUAGGCAUGUUAAUUAGAACAAGUGCAAAAGAAGUCAGAUUUUGUACAGACUUUUGCUUUACCCUUACUGAAGCUGAAAAUCGAAAAACAUAACUUUUCUAGGUUAAAAGAGAGAGAGGGAGACAAUGCUGAAAAAUGUAUGCUGAAAAGACGAGCAAAAAAUAAUAAUUCAAGAUGGAAUAUAAGCUCAUAAUCAUAGUUGCUUUUGCAUGUGGGUGAGCAUUUGUGCAUGAUAAGUUUCAACAUUCAUAUUUUAAAUGUUAUACACCACCAUGCCACACAGCAAUACAAAAUUUAAACAAAGAACUGAAAGAUCUAUACAAAACAAUGUCUAUCAAGAUCCAAGAACUAAACAUAUCAUUAACAAAUACAUUGCAAACACUUGAAUAAAAAUUUCUCUCUAAGAAAUUUCUCUCUAAGAUCUUAGCUGCUUCAAUACCUGUGCCAUGCUUGCUCAUAGCUGAAUAUUGAACUUUUCACAAGCUUCACCGUAGGAGCCUCAGCUACUUCAUCUGCAUAACUUCAAUUGGUAAAAUGAUCCGAGGGCAAUAUUUUUGUCACUCGACCAGAUGAAGUGCACAUUACCACUUUGUUGCAGAGCAGCCAAAAAUGAUUCUUCUGAUUUAGUGCUUGUGUAUAUGACCAGAGGGUUUGCUUGAUAUUUCACUGCACUAGUCAUUGAAGCCAAAAGACAUUCGUACAUUACAAACCAUAACAGAUAAGAAAAGCAUUACUUGCAGAUCAUUAGGGGCACAUGAAGCACACUAAUGAAAUAAGUGCGAAACGACAACACGUAAAUUCUCUUAGCUUUAAGCUUCAAAUAUGAUGGAGUAUGGAAACACAGAGGAACAUAGAAACUAAAAAUGAACGCAAAUCCAACAGCAAUGAGGGGGGAAAAGCAUACCGAGAUCAAUAACUGAAAAACCAUUGUCCCCAUCAUCCCAAGCUUCAAGCACAUUAAGUUGUCGAAGGCUGGAAUCAUAAUAAGAAACUCCUAUUCUGUAAAGAAGAUUUAAUAACUCAUCAAACAAAAAAUACUCGAUUUAAACUCGGGCAGAGAUGUUUGCGUGACUCACAUUUAUAGCUGUCUAACCAUCACUCGACAUAUUACAAUUUAUAUUUAUAUGUUAUUUUUAAUUAUCGAUGUUUGUGAAACAGUUGGUCACUCAAUUUGAACUACAUUCCUGCAACAUCAUUUUUCACACAAAUUCACUUCCAAUGCACAGAAACUAUCAUUUGGUUUUUGUAUCAAACAAUUUUAUUCUAGAUUAGUUGGCAAUUCCUGGCUGGUAACAGAUAUUUGAGCUAUUAAAAGAAGCUUACCUAUGACCAUUUUGUAUGCAGGCCAUGUAAACCUACAUAAAUAAAUAAAAAAUCCAGUAAAAACUAAGGACUGAAAAGUUGAUGAGUCAUUUAUGCAUAAUCCCUAAGAAAUUAUACGUAAAGAUAUAUGGUUAAGAUAUUAAUCAAAUAAAUAUUUUAACAAACAAAAUAAUUUAAAGCCUUUUCCCACUAGGUUAAUAAAAUAUUCAACACGACAUUGUCAUCAUAAAAUUUGCGGAUCAAACAAGCAAAUAAUUUUUAUAUUUUCAUAUGGUAACUUCAAAACUGAAACAUAAAAAAAUAUUCUUAUAUAAAAUUCAAUUUACAUAAGCAUGUGUGUCAACGUCGUGUCGAUGUUGGACACUUAACAUGCCUUCCAUCAGAAGUUUCGGUUUUUCAUAUGCUAACUUCAAAAAAAUUAAACAUAUACAGAUAACUUCUUAUAUGAAACUUAAAUUACAUUUUUGUACUUAACAAAGACCUUGGGAAUAUAUACUUGUCAGCUUACUGCUUAUAUAAAACAUGUUAUGAAUUUUUUUGCACUAAAGAAAUCACGUCACGAAAUUGAAACUAAUUCUUCCUUAAUUUGUAAAUUCUAGUUAGUAAUUACUGUUAAUUCAGAAGCACAAGAGGCCACAACUCCAACAUAGACGACUAACAACUGUGACUUAUUAUCUAUGAAGCACUGAAACAAACACGUACACCAAACACGACAUUGACAUGGACACUGGUAAAUUUUUUAAAUAAACAAAUUAAUUGAACAUAAUCACAUGUGUCGGUGUCCCACAUUUACACGUGUCAAACACCGAACAAACCUUACAUCAGAAGUCUCGGUUCUACAGAGCUUAUUAGUAUUACUGCUUGAAAUACAUUAUUAUGAUAAAUCUAGCUGAGGCAGUCAAUAGUAUAGUUAAAUAUCAGUAUAAUAAAAAUCAUCAUCAUCAAAUAGUGAAGUGUUAGUUAUUUGGAGGCAUGAACAUAGCGAUUAUAGAAUAAUCACAAAUAGUAUGUUCAAACACCGUCAAUUCCAGUUUCAACUUCAAUUCAUCAAUUUAAACCGUUAUAGAGCGUUAUUAUCUACAAAUUAACCAGUUAAUUUUUCCAGAUUCUGCAUAAAAACACUAAUCUCGUUAAUCUCAGUGAUCAAUUGCUUGUUCAAAAAAAAAAAUUGCACCGAUUCAAAUUUCAACUUCAUUGAUCUAAAGCACAGUGCGUUUUGUUCCGUAACGUGAUUGUUGAGAAAAAAGUAAAACGAGUUAAUCAGUUUGUGGAAUUUUCUCUCAUUUUCUAGGCGGUAAAAAAUUUAGAAGAAAAAGUUGCGUGAGAGAUGAACGAACCUGAGGAACCUCAUCGAUCAUCUCAUCAUCCAUAUCCUCCAUUUUCAGCGAUCUACCUUGUUUCUGAGCUUAGCAAGUAAACGUAGGAGCGAGAAAAUUUGAAGUGAAAGUGAAAAUCGAAAAUGCGAGAAAGAAAGUAACGUAAAUUUGAGCGGGGAAAAAUCGAAAUGAGGGAAACUCUGCUUUUAUAUUGGAAAGCGAUGGAAAAUCUGAAUCUGAUUCUGAUACGACGUCGUUUAAAGCUUAAAAAAUCAUGGGCUUGUGUCAUAUAGGCUCAAUACAAUAACGGGUUAGAGUGGUAGUAAUUUUCUGAGUUUACUUUUCACACCCCCAAUAUCAUAUUGGAUGAACAAGUCUAAAACAAUUUUUUAUAUUGUCAUCUGAAUAUAGUAGACUGCAAGAGGUUAUCACUAGUAUCGUAUUCACACACUUGAAGUGACACACUUUUCUUUAUGAGGCAAUUGUAGUGACACUUAACAACUCACAAUUAAAAUCCCAUUGAAGUGGGAGUUAUUAAUUUACAAUUAAUUUUCUGUAAAACAAAUAAUUUACAAUCAAUUAACGGUGUAUAUAUCUGACCGGAUCUACACUUCUAUAUACCUUUACUUUAGUAGAAAUUACACAACAAAUUCUAUUCAGGAAAGGAUAAUUUUGUUUAAAAAACAAAGGGUUAUGUCAUUUCCAGGUUUCCCCCUAUAAUUUUUUUUAUUUACCUCCUAUAUAUAAAUUUUUUUUGUUUUAGAAUAUCCCCUAAUAGGUUAUUCAAAAAUCAUUUUUUUUCUUCAGAAAUUUUGGUUUUUUAAUGGCCUAUUAGGGGUAAAUAAAUAAAAAAAUUUAAAGGGGAAAAUCCGAAAAUGACCUAUAUUACAGGGGGUAAAGCCCUAUUAAUCCAAAAAUAAAAAUAUGGGAUUUUCAAAAACACAUGAAGAAAAAUUCCCGUUUUAUUUUUAGAAACAUGAUGAAUUAAGGACUAUUAGAUGCUUAUUUUUCAGAAUGCAAAAUUAUACUUGUGUUGUGAGGAAGGCAAUGACUUGGUUGCUCUCUCACUUUUUAAAUGUUUAAACAAAUACAUUAACAUUGCCAACAAAGAUCAAUCAUUCCCAACCAAUUUUAGGGAUAUGAAUUUUUAUUUAAAUAACACUAAUUUUUGUCUAUAAGAAGCUGAAACAUAAAAUAAAAUUAUAAACAUAAAGAAGAUCACAUUGUCAAAGAACAUACUAAGUCUUGAAAUAUAUUAUAAUUCAUAGAUUAAGAACACAAGCCAACUGCACACACGUUCCUAUAACUAAUUAAUACUAAUACUAAUUUGUGGAGGACCGCAGGUACAUGUUAAAGGUUGCAAUAGAAUCCCGGGGGUUGUGUUGUAUACAUUUGGCGAAAUCGCAAACCUGAUAGGGUUGCAAACAACCUUCACGGUCUCCCAGCUAUAAAGGAAGAAUAAUUUAUUUUUGAACAUAAUCGAAGUCAGCAUUGUGAGACCGAAUUCUACCAUUCCAUGUUUACGGCGGCUCAGAUCAAUGCCAUCCGCUACAUAGGAACCCGAAUACGUGUCUACCUUCAGUAUCAUGUGAAUGAGACUGCUGCCGUUGAAAUUAGAUUGCUGCAGAGUUGAUGUGUUGUCGAGAAUGACAUGUUCCUUGUCCGUGUAAAACACCUUGACAUGGAAUUCGUGGUGGUGGUAUGAGAUUCGCAAAUAGUGGUUGGGGUUUGAUACAGAGAGUGUGAUAUUCAAUUCGGCAGUGAGUUUUGUGGCGUUAUUUAUGGUUAGCGAGUAAAUUGAGGCCGAGCUGACUUGAAAAUUUGGGUAAUGUGCAUUCUCACCGACGAUGAAUGCAGCCACGAAAUAGAUGAACCCUAGGCCAGCUAGAGCAGCCAAGAAAUAGAUGGAAGUCAUUGUUGGAUUGGAGGUGGUGCUCUAGUAGUGCUGCUGAUAAUUAAGCGUGAAUGAAUGUUGUUUUCUGUUUUGCUACAAUAUAUAAUAACUGAGGGUGCGUUUGGCCCUACUUUUUUUAAGUCUAAAAGUCACUUUUAGAAUAAUGUUGAAAAUUAAAACUUUGAAGUUGAAGUUAAAGUUGUUUGGUAUUUGUUGUUUUUUUCAACUUAAUUAGUAUUUUAAGUUAAAAUUUGAUUGGUAAAAUAUUUUUAAAAGAGCUUUGAGAUUUAUUACAAAUUAUCAUAAAUAAAAUAAAAACUUUUAUUAUUUUUUUUCUUUUGAAAGUGUAUAAUUUUUUUUAUGAUUUAUAAAAAAAAAACAUCUUGCUAGUUAUAUUUUUAAAUGAAAUUUUUUAUCAUUUGAGAUGUCAUGAAGUACCACAAGUCUUCGGUUAGAAUUUUUUUUACAAUGAUAUUGUCUACCAUUAUAAAAUUAAAGUUAGCAAAAUUCAACGUGUUAAAAGGUAAAAAAAAAAAACUAAGUUGUAAUAAUUAGCAAGUUUUACUUGUUUCAUUAACAAAUUAACAAAUAAAAAAGAAAACAAAUGAGGCUGGCAGGAUUUGAAACAUAAGCGUACAAAAUGGUCAGCGAAUAAGCUAGCAUAAAGUUCAAUUUAUUGACUUCUACUUUUUCAGUUUUUUCUUCUUUAAUAUUAAGUCACUUUUUUUUAUUAAGAGCUUCUUAUGAAAUGUGUUUGUCCCUACUUCUUCUUUAAAGUAGAAGAGAAGUUAAAAUUAAGUCGGGCCAAACACUACCUGACAUUAGUGUGAGCAUGAUAAAUUAAAUGGUGUUUAGCUAGGUAGUAGAUAGUGUACUAGGGUGAUGUUAGAGAAAUUUCGUCGCAUUUUCUUUUGGCUUAUAUUUAGACAUGCAUAGCAAUCUGUCCAGGUUUACAAAUGAAGGUCUAAUUGAAAAUGAUGGAUAUGUACUUGCCAGCUUGGUUGGCCAUCAUGUGUUCAAAGAUAACCAAUUCUCAUCAAUGCAAAGAGAUACAUUAAAUAGCUAGUCAUGGUGAUUUACGGCAACAAGAGAAAUAGUUUAACUUGAGUUUGGAAUAGGAGAUAGAUACAUUGUGAGAUAUAUUGAAGUAAUCAUAAGUUAACAAAACAACAAAAUUCUUUGAUGAAAGAAUAAAAAGAAUGGUAACUUGAAUACAAAAUUCUUUGAUGAAAGAAUAAAAAGAAUGUUCACUUGAAUUUUCAAAACAGAAAGAUCAUUUGUGUCUGUGUUUGUGUCUUGAAGCUCAUAGUAAACAAAACAACAAAAUUCUUUUGCCGGUGGGUGAUGCUAUAUGGUGCGAAUGGUUUUUAUUGCGAAAAUUCACAAACGUGUUUUGAGUCACUUCACUUGCAGUUUUUAAUGGAAGAGUAACAGCAUGAUAGUCCGAUUUAUGGAAUACACAGGGUGGUUGCCAUCAGAAUUAAUUUUUUAUUAAAAAAUAAUAAUAUAAUAACAGUCUCAUUUACUACAAUACAAGGGUGGUCAAUAGUAUUUUUUCUUAAAUAGAUGAAAGAAAAAAAAAUUCAACCACAAUUUGUACCAAAAAUAAAAUAAAAUUCAACCACAAUUUACGCCUGAGAAUUACCUAAGUUAACUUUAUGUGAUUCAACAUUUGGUAAGGGAAGCCUGAAUAUUUUGAAACAUAGACUCUACGAUCAACUAGAUUAUGAAAUACCAUUACACCUUCUCAUAGAGGUCAGCAACAUCCAUUCACUCCACAACAUAUCUGACACAAACAUAAUGAAAUAACAUGAGUGUCCCAGAUUAGCAUUAUCAUUAUGAAAUACAAUGGCACCUUCCUAAAGAAAAGAUGUAUCCACACCUAGUAGCUUAGCUUGUAGCUUGAAGCCUUGAACCAAGAAUUUUUUACCGGUAACAUUAACAAGCUCAGCAUCACAUUUCAUCGUUUGGCAAGACACGAUGGCAUAUAUAGUGCCCCGAUUAUCACAAUAUUUACUAACAUAAAAAAAAAAACAUAAAAAUCGUAUUAUGGGUUGCUUAUGAGAAAAUGCUAGAGAAUGUUACUGUGGAUGAUAACCUUACCCAUAGACAUUACACAAAAGAAAUUUAAAACUGAGAAAGCAAGUGAUUCAUGCAUGUAUAAAUUUAAAUUAGAAAGUAAUGGUGAUAAGAAGAUGCAGAGAAGAGACAAAACUAGCAUACCUUUUUUCACAUUCUUUAACUAAAGGUUCAUCUCGAAUAAGAGAAUGAAUUGAAAGAAUAAGACCUUUAAUGACACUCUUAGGGCAUUCAACAUCUAACAAAUUCCCUACAACUAGAGUAGCGUUUUCUGGCAGACCUAUGUGCAAGAAAUAUAGUGUUACAAAGAAAAAGUAUAAUCCUUCAUAUAGGACUUUAAUUUAAAUUGGUCGGAGUUUUACCCAUAUACAUCAACACCUAGUUGCUCAGAACAUUCAUUAUAGAAAUCGGAAAAUAAUUUUAUACUAGGCCAAAAAAAAUAUAUAAUUGAAAAAGAAGUCUUAUGAAACAACAUAUACGUCCUUAAUUAAUUACGUGCACAACUAUUAUAACAUUUUCUUAGGUUGACCAAUAAAUAUAUUUCAUGCGCUCAAGUGUUUUUUCAUUCCAUAAUGAGAAUAUACAACAAUUUUUGAAUAAAAAUCCAGUCAAUUGAGCACUUGAAAUCCAAACACAAAAAGGGUGUAGAGGAUAGAGAACCUACGGAAGGGUUGUUUGCAAUGGUGAUGGAAGCAUAUAAGAGUAAACAGUAACGGUAUUAUGCAUAAUCAGUAAGUAACGGUUACGUUCUAAUAGUGGAUUCCAGUAUUAACUUCAAUUCCUCAUUUUAAACAAAUAGCAGAAAUAAUAAAAACAAGUUAAUCAAGUUUGUUCAAUUUUCUCUCAUUUUCUACACUAGAAUUUAGAAGAAAAUGUAGCGUAAGUGUUGAUGUCCUAUCCAACUAUUGGACCAAAACUGGGUGCCUCUACCAUCACCUAUUUUUUUUCACCAAAGCGCCGACAAACCAAUCACCCAAUCCUUGUCCCAUCGAACUCACUCACAAACCUUUCCAUCCACCGCGAAUCUCUGCCGUUAAUAAAAUCCUUCAAUGUGCAGUCAGAGAACGUGGACAGUUCGAUCAUGAUCAGACAUUUCUCAAAACUAUAUAUAUAUAUAAAUUGCGUUAAAUAAAUAACUAUAUAUAUUAGCGAAAUGUUUAUAGCGAGGCUUAGUCACGCGAAAUUGUCCGGACGGUAUUCCACCCAAGUUUGUAUUGUUGACUUAAACCUUUUAUUUAUUCAACAUGUUGUGAAUUCCGUAUAUAUUUGUUUUGUCAUUGGCUACUUCAUCUUUCGCUAUUUUUCGAGACAACUUCUUUCGCUGGAUAUAGCAAUUCUCUAUAUAUUAAGUAAAGUUGUUCAAUGAUGGAGUACUACUUGAAAUUGAAUUUAUGAAUAGUACACACACUUAAUAUUAAAACUACACGAUAAUUAUUAAUUAAUGUCCUAGAUCAGUUACAAGAACUCCCACAUCCUAACAAGAUCUUGAACUAUAAAUAAUUCAUACAUAAAUUGAGAUCACAAGCUAAAUGAACACACACCUUUCAAAUAAAAAAACUAAAUGGACACACAUUCCUAAAACUAAGGGUAACUACAUACUCCAUCAAUAAUACGAUCGGAAACGGGUUUGGUACAGUUUACACCGUGCAAUAGAAUCCAAGAUGUUGUGCUGCAGAUAUUUUGUGAAAUUUCAAAGCUAAGAGGGUAGCAAAUCACCUCCAAAAGGUAAUGGUUGUAUAAGAAUAUGAAAUGAUGCUUGAAACUAUACGAAGUCGAUAGAGCAAGCCCAAAUUCCACCUUUCCAUGUUUCCGGCGGCUGAGAUCAACAUCCGAGUUUCAUCUCAACAACGUUGCUGCUGUGGUUGAAAGAUGACUGCAGAAGUGAUGUGUCGAGAAUGAUCUGUUGAUCCUUGUAAAAUAUCUUGGGAUCAAAUGAAUCGUGGUGGUAUGAGAUUCGCAAAUGGUAGUUAGGGUUUGAUAGGGAGAGUGUAAUUUUCCAUUCAGCUGUGAGUUUUGUGUUUUUGUUUAUUGUUUGUGAGUUGAGCUGUGAGGCCGAGUCAAGUCGCAAAAUUGGUAAAUGUGAAUAAGCACUGACGUAUAAGCAACCCAUGAGGAUGAAAAGGAGUAAUAGAAUGCAGAAGAUGCAUUGGAUUGGAGGAGGUGAUGCUAUGGUAGCGCUGUGCUGAAAAUCAAGCGUGCGUGAAUGAAUAUUAUUGUUGUUUUUCAUGUUACUAUGUAUAAGUAAUAAAUCUGCUCAUGUUUACAACCAGCUUCGUUGGUUGGUCAUCAUCUGUUCAAACUUUUUCUCUUUUGACUCUCCAAACUCUCCUUCAGUACCUAACUUUCAACCUAGGACCUAAGGUUGAGGUUUGUAUAAACCUCUUAGGAAACCGCAUACAUAAGGGAAUAUGAAAUUAAGCAUUUUGAUAAAAAAAAAAUAAAAAAUUAGGAAAUUAAUUAAGCACUUACUAGCAAAUGCUGAUCAAGGCCAACUAAACCCAAGUACAUUAAAUAGCUAGUCACGGCGUUGUAAUUUGGUGGAAUGGUGGCAACAAGAGAAUUAGUAAAAUCUCCUAGGGGUUGUAUAGAGAUAGAGAUUAAAUGAUGUUGAUUUCAAGCAGAUUUUUUAAUUUUUAAUUUUUAAAUAAAAACUUAGACUCAUAAUUUGUAUGUCCAAUCAUGAUCCAACGUCUAUCGACGUGCAAAUUAUUUUCAAUAAUAGAAAUGUGCACGUAUUUAGAUAUUCUAUUAUUUUAGAUAUAAACCUCUAUUUAGAUAUUCUAUUAUUUUAGAUAUAAACCAAAUUAUAUUCUUCUUUAGAAUUGACAUUUUCGAAUAGCACGUGUGUUUGUGAUGUUAAUUAGAAUUAUUCUACAUGUUUAAAAAAAAAAAAAGAAUUAUUCUACAUGUAGAAUUGAUAUUUUAUUCUUCUUUGAAUGUAUAAAAUUAUUGCUUAACUUAUUUUUAUAUAAAUGUAUCUAAACACACAUGUAAAUCAAACACACGUGCCUUGUGAUUUGCGCUUAAUAUAACCCGCUUAAUGAAAUUAGGUUUUUCCUUUCUUCUACUUACGUAAUUAAUAUCUUUUAUGUAAUUUACUUUUUUCCCGACUAAAUAUGAUUUACUUAAAAAAAGUCCCUCAAAAUAUAACAAUAAACAAAAAUAAAGGUAAAUUCUAAUAUAGAACAUGUCCACCACAGACAAGCACUUCAAAAAUGCUUAAAACACUAACACACAUUGUCUCUUAGAAAUAGACAUUAGAAGGAAAAAAAAAAAAAAGAGUAAAAUAGCGACUUAAUAGAAAUUGAUUCGAUAACUAUAAUCAAAAGUAUAUAUAUUUAUCGUAUUGAAUUGACAUCAAUGAAAUCGCCAUUUAAGAAGGUGGUUCACUCUAGACCUCACGAAAUUUUUUUUUAAGUAUUCGUUGGAUGCACCAAACAAGACCGUUGAAUUGCACCCAACAAUUUGCUAGUUGUUCUUCCUUCCUUCCAAACAAACAAACGCUCCAUCGGAACUUCCAAGCCCAACAUUAUUCACCCACUCCCCCCAUAUCCGAGAUAGCAGGGGCGGAGGGAUUGGGGUGGCAAGGGAGGCCAUGCCCGCCCCCCAAUUUUGUUAUAAAUAAUUUUAUACCACUAAUAUAUUGCUAUUUAAUUAGAAAUGUCAAUGCAGUCCCCCCAUUAUUAGCACUUUCAUUUGUAGUCUUAAGUCUUAUAUUAUAUGAACAUCGAACCUUUGUCUUUUAUAACUAAAAAAGAGUCCUUUAACUAUGUCAAGUAUAAAAGCAACAAUAGAAUAAAUUUAAAAGUUAAUAUUUUCACUUCCAUUUUUUCUCUAAGCUGUCGAAAAAUACCAAAAUACUUUCAACGAAAGUUUACUAUCAAUGAAGAAACUUUUUAAAUCAAUUAAAUCGAUUUAAAAAGUAAUUAACCUGAUCUAAAAAGCGUUGAACGACAUUCAACUAUCAUUGGAGAGGCUGACAAUAGUUAAUAUCGCUCGACCAACGAUAGUUGCGAAAAUGAGAAAUUUUGAAAGUGACAAGAGUAACUUUCAUAAAAUAAAUAAAGUAAGAAGUGAAUUUAAUUUUUCUAUCUUCUCUCAAUAUUAACUUCACAUGUAGUUUAAAUUUCUCAUAUAUGCGGUACAUUUGAACUUUUUUUUUGUUUGACUAAAAUAUACUUUUUAAACUUGAUCCCUCUAUAAUUUAAUUUCUCGCUCCACCCUUGCGAGCACACUCGGCUUGCAAAGUAAUCAACACUAAUUUGGGAAGGACCAAACCGGGUGCCUCCACCAUCGGCUAACUUUUUUUACCACAGCACCAACAAACCAAUCGUCCAAUCCUUGUCCGGUUGAACUCACUCCACACAAACAUUCCCACCACAAGAUUGACAAAUUCGGAUUGAUCAAAAUAUAAAAUAUCCGAACCAUACAUAGCACUCAACAUUUUGACCAUUGCCAAUCCUCCUUGGAUAAUAACCGUCACUGCCACCUUCACCCCCAGACCACAUUCAAUCUUCUAAUUUGUGUAUUUUAACUUUUCAACUUUGUCGUGUUUUUUUACUGACAUGUUAACACUUAUUCAAUGUCACGGACAUCUCCAAUUAAUGAUGAUAGUGUUUAUUGACAUGUUAGCCUUUUGGUCAUAAUAGCUACUACUAGUAUUUACAUAUCACAAGCUGCGCUCAGGUUACAAAUUAAGGAAUUUUACACUUUUGGUUCAUGUGAAAAAAGGUAAAUAUUGUACUACAUGCAGAACAAGUGACUUCAAACACACAAGAGGGGUGAGUUGUGUUCUUUAAGAAAUGAUUUAAAAUAAGCAUUUAAAAAAAGAUUUUAACCAAAUAAAAUAAAUGAUAAAUAAAGUAAAAGAGAUAAAGGGAUGAGAGAAAAUAAUGACACAAGAAGUUUAUCCUAGUUCGGCCUAAAACAUCAAGGCCUACGUCUAGUCCCCAAGGAAAAGCCCCUUGAGAUUUUCACUAACCUAACUUUUAAACGGGAUAAGCUAAUAACCUUUACAAAUAAGCGAACACUCUUCAAACAAAACAAUCAUUUGUAGAAGAGCCUCUAAACUCAAGAGAUAUCACCUCUCUUGAAACCUUGGGAUCACACCCAAUACAAAAUAGAGUUACAAUAAUAAAGUAGUAUACCAAAUGUGUAGAUAUAAUAAAUUGACGCACAAUUACUACAACUCAACUAUGUAGUAUAAAAUAGUUCUCAAGAUAAUAAAUUAGCAAGUGUAAAAAUAAUGAGAGUGAUGAAAAAGUAUUUUUGACAAUGUUUAAUGCAAAUAUUAGUUGUGUAAAAUAGCCACCACAAAGCUCAUAUUUAUAGUGCAAAUGGCAUUCAGGAGCAAUAAAAAAAAUAGCCGUUGCACAAAAAUAUUCAUUGCGGUCAACUUGCAAUUUAAGAGAAAAAGAGUCGUUGCCUUUAAAGUGAAGAAUCAAAACAAAUAUGCAGUUAUCACACUGUAAUAAAUUUGGCCAUGAUCAAAUUAUAUGCAUUAUGUAAAAUGAUUGGUAAUGAACUCGACUCAAAUUAACCUUAGAUUUUUUUGUUUGACAGCAACUUUGUGAAUGAACUCGACUCAGUAUAACACGUGAGCAAACACACCAUCACUGAACCCCUUCCUUCCUUAUUGCAACUACGCCGUCGUAUCCCGUCGUUCUGGUCAAUGAUUUUUUAUUUUUCGAGGAUAAAUUCAAAGCACUUUUUCUAUUCGAGUUUCCCUUGUCACAAUCCCACACCAUUACUAUGCUGAGCCGCUUUCUCCCUCUCUCAGUUUGAUUUUUUUUUUCUUUUUUUUUAACUUGAUGCAAUUUUCUUUAAAAAUGAUUGGUAUUGUACUUUAAUUACAAUUGUUUGAUAUUUCACUUAAUGAAGAAAAAAUUACUUUAAUGUGCACUUACUUUGAAGAAUACGUAUUGACCUUUAGUAUUGAAAACGGUGGUGAGAUGAGAUGUUUGUAGCCGACAAGUCCUUCUUUGUGUGAUUUUCUCUUCUAUAUAUUUUAUUUAUUUAUUUUAGUUUUAAUAUUUAAAACCCUAUAACAAUUAGAAAAGGAAAAAUGGGUGGGGAACAAAGCGUAUUCGUGCUAUCCGCGGGGUUCGCUUAUCGCACCAUAUAGCAUCACUGUAUAUUUUUAAUGUCAAAAUCAAUUAUGCAAUUUGUAAAAUAAAUUCUGACUUUUUAUGUAAAAAUAUUUUUAUGCAAAAUCACAUUUAAAUGAAAAUUAUUGUGAGUGUGUGAUUUAUUUUCUCGAGAGCUUUUUAUCCACUUAUAAUAAAGUCCUAAUAUAAAUAAAAAAACUCAAGACUCAAGACUUGAUAGCUUGAAUUUCUUUUCCACUUUUUGCAUCAUUGUUCUUUUAAAAUUUCUUUUGUCCAUCGUCAAACCAAUGUAUUCAUGUCAAAACAUAUAUUCACACUACAAACUUUUGUGAAAUUAUAUAUGGCUUUUCCCAGAGUUACAAUAACUUAAACAAAUUUAAUUAAUAUUGGAGAAACAAACUUAAACAUGGGCAUCCACUAUGAUCUAAUACACAAUUAACAUUGGAAUUAAAUCACAUAGCUGUCUGUCCUAGAGUUACAAGAUCUCCUAAAAUUUAAGAUCACAAAGCCAGAUACCAAGUCUUGAAAAUAUACAUAUAAACAAUCAUAAGUUAAUCAAACAGCACACAGAUUCCUAUAAUAUAACAAGGUUAUUUAAUAUUGCAUCAAUAUAGUUUUCUAUAGUUUAAAUUGCUAAGCUUGUUUUUCUUUAUAUAUUUACGAUAAAUGUAUCUCUAAUAUUAUUUACUUAAUUUUAUAGUAAUUUUUUUUAACAAGCCUCUUCUAUAGUAUUAUAAACUAAAUAUCAUUAUAGUCCCUAAAAAUGUCACCAACUUUAUUAAAAAAUAAAAUGUCAACUAACAUAUUUAUAUGUUCUAGAGUAAAAUUGAGUUGUCUUCUACUUCAAUUUAACAAGUUAUUGCUUUGGCGUUUGCAGCAGUAACAACCAUUAGUGGGAAUAAUCUUUUGAUCACAUUCAAAAAUUAUCCAAUGUGGACCUAAAUUUAACACACAUGAUUUUUGAGGUUAGAAAUUUCUAUUGUCAAAUCUCAAUCCAAUGAUCAUUGAUCUAAUUAACGAUAUGAAUAUGAGAGACUACAUGUAAGACGGUUGAAUUGCAUCCAACAAGUUUGCUAGUAGUUGUCUUCUGCUUCAAUUUAACAAGUUAUUGCUUUGGCGUUUGCAGUAACAACCACUAGUGGGAAUAAUCUUUUGAUCACAUUCACAAAUUAUCCAAUGUGCAUCAAAAUUUAACACCCUGACUUUAACAUAAUUAACUUUUUACUCUGUUUUUUAUUGACUGACCUAAUACCUAACUUUGUCCAAAAAAAGUCUUAAAUUAAGUGAAUACAGUCUUACAACCUCAAAUUAAUGUUUUACUCAGGUUUUCACAUACUAACUUGAGAUCAAGGAAGAAAACUCAUAACUAUAUUAUAAAAAAUAAAAAUAAAAAAUAAAAAAAAAGAAGAAGAAAAGUCAUAAUUUUGUCCAAAGUAGCAAUAACCACUAGAGUGAGUUUGGUUUGGUUUUUAGAAAGGAAUAUAGAAUCAAAUCGAAUGUUUCUUCACACUUCUAUUAUCAUAAAUGUUAUAAAAUUUGCAAAAUUAUGAUUUGAUUGCAAUAUAAAAACAAAGUUGUUCAAUGAUAGAAUAUUACAUAAAUUUAUGAUUAACACACAAACUUAACACUGGAACAACACCAGAUAAUUGUCCCAGAGUUACAACUAACAAGAACUCCCACAUCUUAAACAUGUAAAUGUAAAUAUUAAUUAAUAUUUUAUAAAUUGAGAUCACUAGCUAAAUGCAAUCACAUUCCUAUAACUAAGUGGGAUUACAUACUCCAUCUCAAUUAUACAUAAUCAUAACCCAAGUCGCAGGUUACACCUUGCAAUAGAAUACCAGGGGUUGUAUUGUAGACAUUUUGAGAAAUUUCAAACCUGAGCGGAUAGCAAACAUUUGAAGACUUGGAGCCUGAAAAGACGAAGAAAUCACUUUUGAAUCUCAUCGAAGUCGAAACAAUUAGUCCAAAUUCAACCAUUCCAUGGUUGCGACGGCUCAAAUCAAUUUUCUCCGCCAUGUAGGAGCCCACGUACGUGUCAACGUUCAAUUUAAUCUGGACCAUGUUGUUGCCAUUGAAAAAUGAUUGCAAAGUUGAGGUUUCAAGAAUAAUAUCGUUGUCGGGACGUCCUUGCUGAUUCCUGUAAAAUAUCUUGCCAUGAAAUGCAUCGUGGUGGUAGGAAAUUCGAAGAUGGCCGUUAGGGUUUGAAAGCAAGAGUUUUAUGUUCCAUUCGGCUGAGAGUUUUGUGGUGUUGCUUACUUUAAAUGAGCUGAGUGAGGCAUAGUCCACUCGGACACUUGGGUAGUCUGCUUCGAUGGCGAUGACUAUCCAAACCAUGAAAUAGAUCACCAAACAAGGGGUUAAAAGGAUGAUUGGAAGAACAAAGAAGCCUUCGCGUGGUGACUCGCGUGGUGAAGGCGUAGUUGGAUCGGAGGAGUUCAUGAUGCUCUAUUGUUGUAAAUAUGUUUUCUUGAGUGAGUGAACAAUUGUUUGUUUUCUAUUUUGCUACUACUAAAUAGAGAGAGAGAGAGAGAGAGAGAGCAUAAAUGAUCAAUGAAAGGGUGUUUAGCUACUUAGGUACAAAUGAAAGAGCAUGGAAAUUACAUCGCGUUUUGCUUUUACUUAUAUUUAGAAAUGGAGAGUAAAAUGCCCAGGUUUACAAAUGAAGGUAGUUGAUAGUGAUGGACAUGUGCUCGCUAGUUUGGUUCGUCAUUACAUAUGAAAUUUUGAGCAUUUUGGAAAGAAAAAAAAAUUAGGUAUUUAAUUAAGCACUUACUAGCAAAUUCUAAUCAAGGCAAAGAAAUACAUUAAAUACCGUACUAGUUAGAGCAUAUGAUGAAGAGAAAAAAAAAAGAGCAUAUGAUGAUUUUAAUUAAUGUUUUUUUGAAGGAAUGAUUUUAAUUAAUGUUGUUCAGCUAGUUAGGUGUAGUAAUAUAACGGACAAAGGAAAUUACAUCGCAAUUUCCUUGUGGUUAUAUUUAGAAAUACAGUGCUAUUGGUUCAGUUUACAAAUGAAGAAUGCAUAAUAAUGAAGGGCAUGUGCUUACUUGGUCAUCAAUUAUGUGUGAUCAAACAUAGGAUAGCACUUCCUCGGUAUGCAUGCACAUCAACAAUUAUUGAUAAUUGCUGUAUUGAAAUUAAAUGAUGUAAAUUUUUGUGUUUUACUCUUAAAUUAAAACUGAGGUUUGAAUUUUGUACUACACUGGGUCUCAAUCCAACGACAAAUAACGUGGUUGUCUAUGUUAAUGCAAAAACAUAGUGACCGCAUGGAAUCUAAGUCUAUAUAAUUUUUUUUUAUUAACAUAAAUUAACAAUUUUUUUUUUUUAUAAUUUCGAUUUAAUUCAAAAUUCCACCGUUGUUAAGUCAUGCAUAAAUCCAAGUUAAGUCAUGCAUAAAUUCAAUUGUAUGAGAGUGUGUCUCCUCUAAUUUACAUUUUAAAUUGUUACAAAAAAUAAUUAUUAUGUAUAGUAAAGAUUAAUAUAAUGUAAGAGACCUGUGUCCCAUGUGUAGUAAGGUUGGUUUCUCUACACAAGUUCCUCACGUUUUGUUUUCUUUUGUCUAUUUUAAUUGUUGGUUGGCUUUGGAAUUCGGACGCUUCUAUAGUAAUUUUUUGUACUACAAAUUUUCUGAAGAAGUUUAAGAACCAAGUUCAAAGGUAGCUAGAGAAUCAAAUCUUGUAGGUUAAGGUGCUUUCAUAUUUGUUUUUGCUUGCAAAAUACACAAGAGAAUUCAAUGAUAAUGCCUAGGUUUUCUUAUCAUAUUUACUUUGGUUGUAGCAUACAUCUGGAUAUAACUACACAUGUUGGUUUCUAGACAUUUGGGCAUUCACUUUGUGCAUGUUAGGAAUGACAUUGUAAAGGUUUCAUUGUGUGCAUGUUAGGAAUCAUUUCAUUUGUUAUUUAAUAUUUCACACAAUAUAAAUGUAUAUAUCAAUUCUACAGCUGAAGACAUUAGACUUAUACAGUUUUGAUUUCAAUAUUCGAUGAAGUUUAUUUUCUAUAAAUCAUGUAAUUUAUUUAUAUUUCAUAGGUUUCAAGAAGGAAGACUUGCUUGAAGGAUUUGUUGAAAUCUGCCUCAGAAAUAAAAGUAACUUCAAGAAAAGUAAUUGCAUUGUCAUUUAUACCCUAAAUAUUUUCUUAUUUUAACGUUUUGUACCUUCACUAUCAUGAAGAAUAUAUAUAUACUUUUGAUAGAGUUAAUUUUUUGAGUUUGUUGGAAUUUGAAUUUGUUAGGUUGGAUGGAAUUUGAUUUGCAUUCAUCAUUUUAUAUGGAGUGGUGUUGAUGUGAUAAAUGGUGGGGUCACAGGUUAGGACAAGUUGAGAGUGCUAGGAAGUACCUUUGUUUGUGACAGGCAUCAAGUUGUUUUUGUUGAGCUAAAAUUGGUUUAUUUUGUUUGUGACUAUUGAAUUGUAUGUCCCUGGCUUUAUGUUGUGGUCAUGCAAAUUUUCUAUGGUAGUGGAUAGUGUUAAGUUUUUAGGCUUCUUUAAUAAUGAAGAAUUUACACUAAUUACUAACAUAGUGUUAUGUUUCUUACUAUACUAAUCAUAAUGUUUUACAACUCAACCAAUAAGAUGUCAAUUUUCCAAAACAUUAUGAUCUUCAAUCAUGGUUUAAUUAUAAAUUUUAUUAUUUUCUGAUGCAGGGGUGUCUUUGUUCUGUAACUUUUUUUAAUGCAUUCUGAUAUGUUACUGUCUUGAACAUUGGACCCAAUCAUGAAAACUCUCUUAAGUUGGCCAAAGUUUUGGAGUUUAGACCACAUUUUUUUAUGGAAGUCCUCUAUUGUUGUCAAGAUGUUUGCCCAACAUUAUUCACCCACUCCCCCCAUAUCCGAGAUAGCACACUCGACUUGCAAAUUAAUCAACACUUAUCUAGGAAAGACCAAACCGGAUGCCUCCACCAUCGGCUAACUUUUUUACCAACGAACCAAUCGCCCAAUCCUUGUCCCGUCGAACGCACUGAUCCACACAAACAUUUCCACCACGAGAUUGAUAAAUUUGGAUUGAUCAAAAUAUAAAAUAUCCGAACCAUUCAUAGCACUCAACAUUUUGACCAUUGCCAAUUCUCCUCAGAUAAUAACCGUCACUGCCACCUUGGUAAGACAUCUAUGUUGAACACCCCAAGGUCCUUCACCCAAGACCACAUUCAAUCUUCUAAUACGUGUAUUUUAACUUUUUAACUUUUCAACUUUUUCGUGUUUUUGUACUGAAAUGUUAACCCUUAUUCAAUGUCAUGGACGUCUGCUGCUAGUAUUUACAUCACAUGCUGCGCUCAGGUUACAAAUUAAGGAAUUUUACACUUUUGGUUCAUGUGAAAAAAGGUAAAUAUUGUACUACAAACUUUAACAAGAACUUUUCCCAGAGUUACAAGAACUUUAACAAACUUAAUUAAUAUUGGAGAAACAAACUUAAACAAGGGAAGCCACUAUAAUCUAAUACACAAUUAACAUUGGAAUUGAAUCACAUAGCUGUCCUAGAGUUACAAGAUUUCCUACAAUUUAAGAUCACAAAGCCAGAUACCAAGUCUUGAAAAUAUACAUAUAAAUAAUUCAUAAAUUAAUCAAACAGCACACAGAUACCUAUAAUAUAGUAACUAAUAAGUGUAAAUCAAUAAUACUAAGUGUUAGUGCAUGUUACACCUUGAAGUAGAGCAGCUGGGGUUGAAUUGUAGACAUUUUUCGAAAUUCCAAAGCUUAGUGGGUAGCAAACAUACUUCAAAUGUUUCCGAUUGGAAACAAAGAUAUAACUCUUGAACCCGAUGGAAGUGAACACUUUGAGCCCGAAUGCAACCCUUCCAUGUUCACGGCGCCUCCGAACAAUGCUCUCGGCCAAGUGAAGUGGCUCAUACGAGUCUACUUUCAGCUUCAGCUCAAUCAUGCUGCCGUUGAAAGGUUGAAUAGUUGAUGUCUUGAGAGUCACAUCGCCAUAUUCAUCUCUGUAAAAUACAUCAGCAUUGAGUGUUUCUUGGUAUGAGACACUUAGAUACUGGUUUGGGUCGGAGACUGAGAGUGUUAUGUUCAAUGAGGCACUCAUUUUCUCGGUGCCAUUUAUGGUUAGUUGGUUGAGUGAUGCCGACUCGACUCGGAAACUUGGGAAUUCUCUAUCAAGACUGAUGAUGAAUAAACUAAGGAAUAAGCUGCCAAUGAAGGCAGCUAUCAAGAUUAUAACACCCGCGAAGAAUUGGCUACGGGAAGACAUUGUUUUGCUAGUGCUGGUGAGUAAGUGUGUGAACUCGUUGUUUUCUUUUGUCUACUAUUUAUAAUAUAAUGUAAUGUAAACAUUAGUGAACACUGAACUUGAUUACUUUAAUGUUGCUCAAAUAGGUGGAUAAUGUAUUAAUGUGAUGAAGAUUAGGAAAUUACAUCGCACUUCCCUUGUGGUUAUAUUUAGAAACACUGGGAAAUUUGCUCUACAAAUUAAGGAAAUAAUAAUGAAGGGAAUGUGCUUGCAUAGGAAAUUAAAUUACUAUCAAAUUAAACACUUAAUUGAGAUGUUAGACAUACACGGUGAUUUUUUGUGUCUUUCUAUUUACCCAAUGUGGUUUGAAAUCCAAUUACUUUGUUGAGUUAAAAUUGAUAAUAGUUAAAACAAUAUAUCUAUUACUACAUUGUGUUUCUAUGGUGAUACUUUAGUUUUAGUUGAGUCAUUAAAACCUAUUUAAACUUUGUAGUAACAAGAUAAAAGAUGCAGUUUUUAUAUAUGUCUUCCACCUGGCAGUGUGGCAUUUUGGUUUUUUUUGGUAAAAGUGAUUCAUUUAAUUGAACUUUGGUCUUUUCUAAUGGAACAAUAGGCUAACAGAUAACAAUAUAAGAUUUCACCAUAGUGUUUUAUUUUCUGCUGCAAGGGGUCUCUUUAAUGCGAUCUGGUAUGUUAGGGUCAUGAACAUUGGACACAUUCAUUAGAAUUCUCUGAGUUGUGCCAAAGUUUAGGAGUUCAGACCACAUGUGUGUAAUGAAUGGGCCACGUGGACAAGGGUCUAGAAGAUGCUGAAAUAACAAAAUCAGGAAAUGAGGAAAAGUGUGAGGCCUCGUUUCCCCUCACACAAGCUAAGGGAUUACUACAUUUAAUUUGGGUAUAUAUAGAACGUAGGAUUGAGACUGAGGGUGGUGAAUGUUUAUGUGAGAAUUUUCUUCUCUUCUUAUCCACUGAGAUUUCUCUCCUGUUCUUAUAUAUCAUUCAUCAUACUUGUAAUUUCCUUCAAUUCUCUUCUACUUCAUACACUGGAAGUUGAAUUGGAGCCCUUAGUAAUACAAUCUUCAUUUUUCUUAUUUGUCAUCCUUUACAGUUGAGAUAAAUAGCCUUAAAUCUCUAUCUUUCUUCCAAUGAUUUGAAUCAACACAUAGGCAUUCAGUUACCAUCCCAAAUGAAAAUAUUAUUGGCAACUUAGAAUCACUUGCAUUAAUUUAGGUCAAACACGUGUCUCGUGAUGAAAAUUUGUUCAAGUUUGCGUCCUUAAGAAUCUUGUGUUAUUAGUAAUAUUGAAAAAUGGUUUAACAAGUGACAUUCCACCAGAUAUCCAGAACCUCAACAAGUUGAAAAGGUUUGUUAUUGCUGAAAACUAUUCUAUUGAGAAGUUUCUGAUGUAUGUUUUUAAUGUAAUGAAUGAGUUGUUAAUUUUGGAUUCCACUGUCUGAAAGUUUACCUUUUGAAUCUUUGAGGGGAGUUUGAUUGGAAGUCCUAUGUUAUUUUUUCAGUAAUCAUUGUUGACAUCAUGCUUGGAAAUGCGGUCAGUGGAAGUACUAAUGCAGCCUAAUGUCUUGAUACAUUGUGUUUCUGCUGUGAUACUUUAGUUGAAACACUUAUAUUCACUAAAGCCCCUUUAAACUUUAGAGGGAGGGGAGGGGGCUUAGACGGAAAGUUGGUGAUGGAAAUUCCAUAAAUGUUUGGCAUGAUCCAUAGUUGCAUGCUCACAACAAUGUGUUUGUGGUCUCUCAACCUCCACCCAGUUUGGAGGGCAUGAACUUAGCUCAUUUAAUUGAUUAUCAAACUGGUCAAUGGCGUGAGGAUGUAGUGAAGGCGCUUUUCCAGAAUCGAGGCAUUAACGAGAUCCUCUGAAUUCCUCUUCGGCAAGUAGAUGUAAUGGAUAGACCGGUAUGGAUAGUGUCUAAAGAUGGGAAUUAUUCGGCAAAAUCUGAUUAUUUCACUUUGGAGGAAUUUAUUCAGUAACCAUUGGGAGCAUGAGAUUCAUUGUUUUAUGGACUGUCAAGCGGCCAAAGAAGUCUGGUUGAAGUUGUGGAAUAUCAUAAGGCCUUCUUUCAACAGCAGAAUUGCCUUCUUUUUAGCAUGCCGUCAUAUUCUGAGGAGGAAUGACAUAAUUUUGGAGCAUGUGAACCAGUCUACCAUUGAGGUUGCUAGAAUAGCUAUAACUGUCAUAGAGGACUGGAAAUCUGUCCAUCAAUAGAGCAGAAUGGUCGCGGACCAGCAGCAGAAUGCUGUCAUUAUGCAAUGGAAAAGACCACAGUUAGGGACCGUAAAGUAAUAUAGCUGCACGUUUGAAGAUGAAAACAACUUCAGUUGCAGCAUGUGUAUUCGGAACAGGGAGUUAUGGUCCAAGCACGGAAUAUGUGGUUUGUAGGAACACCUUCGCCAUGUGAAGCUGAAGCAAACAGUUUAAGGCAGACUCUGAUAUGGUUACACGGCAAAGAGAAGUUGCACAUUGAGCUGCAAACUCUGACAUGGUUACAAGGCAAAGAGGAGUUUCAUGUUGAGCUAGAAACAGAUUGCAAGCAAAUAGUGGACUCCGAUAUCCCGGUAAUUUGUCUACUUUCUGAUGCAUUUUACAAGUGAUCCUGCCGCUAAUCUCUCUAGUACGUGUAGAAGCAUUACUUACACACUAGUAUCCUGAAUUUGAGAUGUUUCUGUUAGAUAGUGUCAUAGCUACCUGGCCAAAAGUCAAGGAAUUGGCCGAGACAAAUUCUGAACACUCAUGUUGUGCCCUUCGAAAAUUCACAAAACUUAAGGAAAAUGGUAGAGUAAAACAACCUUCCAGAUCUUUAUUUUGAUAACAUAGAAUAACCAACAGAACUUGCCUUAAUUUAAAUUUCAGAUUAUGAUUGCAGUUUUGAUAUCCAGUUUAACAAUAAUGGAUGAAUUGUACUGAAAUGAAUUUCUUUAGCCAUUGUCAAUAUUUGCCUAAAAAAUCACUAAAUCUUAUGAAUAAACAUUGAAAUGAUUGUUUUUUUUCUAAUUUGUUUCACUGACCACCUCAUCGGUACAUGUUAUAGAAAAACAAGCUUAGUUUGCUUUCUUCUAUGCAUAUAUGCAUGUUUCAUUCUGUGGUUCUCAGAUGUUGUUACAUGUUAUUUAUUCCCCCGGACCUUUAAUAUAAGCAAAAUUUCUAAUUAGAAACGCGUGUUAAAAUAUUCAAAUGCCAAAACAAUUGAAAGAGAAACUCACUAAGAUAUGAACUUUUGCUUACCUUGAAACUAACUAUAACCAGAAAAGAUAUAUCAGUUAAAGGAAAUUCAAAACUUCCGAAGCAAACUUCCACCUAAAAGGCUAAAACUGCUAAAAAAUGAGUGCUCUUGAAAAAUGUCUACUUGUUUCUUCCAAUGCUAUAAAGUGUGGAACGGUGCUAUCUUGGACCAUUCCGUUCCUUAGUCCUUACACCGCUCCUUUAAUUUAGGGCAACCACGGAUUUGAAACAACUCAAGUGAAGCGAGGUGUCAAAUACCUUUUGGCAAAGAUACCUUCUGGCAAGAAUCCCAAUUCCUUGUAUUCAGUGGUAUAUAUAAUUCAAACAGAAAUAAAUGGCACAUGUUCAGUUCCACGAGAGAUGCUAUCUAUAAGUGAAACAACGAAUGCUAAUCAACUAAAAUUGAUAAGAGUUUAAAGAUGCAAAUUUCACUUUGCUAUCAAAUAAAAAUAUUGAUUUGUUAUUCAUAUCCUCCAAAGUCAUCACCUGUUCGUUAAGGUAGCAUUUAUUUUUUUUAAUAUUGGUACUUUUUACGCCAGUCGAUGUUUUGCCAAAGUAAGAAGUCAUUCGUUAAGGUAGGGUAGAAAACUGACUUAAGAAGCCAAUACUUCUUAUGUCGUCUGCUGUUAAGUUGGGCUCGGAACCGACUUAAAAAGCCUUUUAUUACCUGUCUUAUCAAGUGCUUUCUGCACUAGUGAUCAUGAAAAAAAUGUCUAUUCUUUUUCAAUACCUUUAAGGCGGAGAGAGAGAGAGCAAACAUAGAACUAAACAUGGGUUAGAGAAAUGCUACCAAUAUACAUUUUCUAACACAUAUAUAGAACUAAACAUAGGUUAGAGUAAUACACGGUGUAUCUAUUUAGUGUCCUUUCUAUUUAGCCAAUGUUGUUUAAAUUCCAUUCUUGACGAUGUUUUUUUUUUUAAAUUACUAAUUAACAAGUGAUUACAUUCAACACAUGUAGUACCUACACUUAUAAAAGUCGUGUACCACACAUGUGAUAACAUUCAAUUAACAUUUUUUUUAAAUUACUAUUGUUAUCGAUGUGUCAAUAUUUUGAUCGUUGUUUUUGUUUGGGUAUCAUAGAUUUUUACAAACUUGGCACCCAGGGUGUGCCAUCAAACUAGAUAACAACCAAAUUCUGACUCAACUCAUCAAGCCAAGGAAAUACAGUCGAGUGUAUAUAAUUACUUCUUUCUUAAUUCAUACAUGGUUGGUGUUUCUAUUUAGUCUCCUUUCUAGUUAGCCAAUGUGCAUGGUUUCAAAUCAACUUCUGGUAUUGAUGAUGUAUUUUUCCUGAUUUGUUGAGCUAAAAUUCAUUUAUUUUGUUUGUAACUAGUGUCUCUACUAUAGUGAUGUUGUCAAUAGCGGAUCCCGGAAAAUAGUUGUUUGUUCAAAUUCUGCUAUGAUAUGGUGCUAUAGCGCUGUUAUAGCCGCUAUUUGACAACUUUUUGUACUAAACAGCACAUCGCAGAACAAUUCCAGUUUGUUCAAAUUCCGCUAAGUUAUAAUGCUAUAGCGCCGCUAUUUGAUGGUAUAUUGUGUCAAGUUUCUAGGCUUCAUUAGUUAAUAGUGAGGAAAGUACAUUAAUCACUAGCAUAUUGUUUUAUUUUCUGCUGCAAGGGGUCUCUUUGGUCUCUUUAACGCGCUCUGGUGUGUUAGGGUCUUGAACUUUGGACCCAUUUAUGAGAAUUCUCUAAGUUGUGCCAAAGUUUAGGAGUUCAAACCACAUGUGUUUGAGCUAAACUAAAGAACCUUAAAUCUCUAUCUUUCUUCCAGUGAUUUGAAUCAACACAUUGACAUAGGCAUUCAGUUACCAUCCCAAAUGAAAUAUUAUUGGCAACUUAGAACCACUUGCAUUUAGCUCAAACAUGUGUCUCAUGAUGAAAAUUUGUUCAAAGUUUGUGUCCUUAAGAAUCUUGAGUUAUUAGUAAUAUUUAAAAAUGGUUUAAUAAGUGACAUUCCACCAGAUAUCUUGAACCUCAACAAGUUGAAGAUGUUUUUUAUUGCUGGCAACUAUUCUAUAAGAAGUUUCUGAUGUUUUUAAUGUAUUGAAUGAGUUGUUAAUUUUGGCCAUGUAUUAGAGUGCUACAUUUAUUUGAUAACAAAAAAAUCUCUUUGCUACACUGUUUCUGGGGUGAUACUUUAGUUUAAACACUUAAAUUCAUCAUAGCUUGUUUAAACUUUAAACUUUAAAGCAACAAGAUCAAAGAUGCAGUGUUUAUAUGUAGAUCAGGUAAUGGUUAAAGGGGGGGAUUAGAUGGAAAGUUGGUGAUGGAGGCAUGAUCUAUAGUUGCAUGCUCAUAACAAUGUGUUUGUGGUCUCUCAACCUCCGCUCAGUUUGGAAGGCAUGAACUUAGCUCAUUUAAUUGAUUCUCAAACCGGUCAAUGGCGUGAGGAAGUAGGAAGGCGCUAUUCCAGAAUCGACACAUUAACGAGAUCAUCUGCCUUCCUAUCUGGCAAAUAGAUGCAAUGGAUAGACCAAUAUGGAGACUGUCUAAAAAUGGGAAUUAUUCGGUAAAAUCUGAUUAGUUCACCUUGGAGGAACUUAUUCAGUAACCGUUUGAAUUGGAGCAUGAGAUUCAUUGUUUUCUGGACUGUCAAGCGGCCAAAGAAGUCUGGUUGGAGUUGUGGAAUAUCAUAAGGCCUUCUGUGGAGAAUUCAAUAUCUUUUCGUGAAACUGUUUUUAGCAUUCUGUCAAAUUUCUCUCAACGGCAGAAUUGCCUUCUUACUAUGGGAUUUUGGGGGUUAUGAUGGAGGAGGAAUGACAUAAUUUUGGAGAAUGUGAAUCAGUCCACCAUUGAGGUUACUAGAGGAGCUAUAACAGACCUAGAGGACUGGAAAUCUGUCUCUCAAAGGAGCAGAACAGUCGCGUACAGCAGCAGAAUGCCGUCAUUAUACGAUGGAAAAAGCCACAUUCAGGGACCUCAAAAUGAAAUAUAGAUGCACUGUUUGAAGAUGGAAAAAGCCACAACUUUGGCUGCGGUUUAUAGGAACACCUUCGCCAAGUGAAGCUGAAGAAAGAGGUAGAUUAUAAACAAGAGUUUUCAUAGAAAAAGUGCAUCUCAUGUUAUCCAAGAUAUCAACACAUUUAUUUGCUUCUCAAUACACUUGAGAUAUUUCAACAUGCUACUAUAACUCAACACAGUCUUGAUCUUCUAAAUAAUGCUCCAACCAGAUGCACUUCCUACCAUACGUUCAUUCAAGCUUUGCACCACCACUCCCAAAUCAACUUGAACUUCCAAAUUCAUCACACUCACGCUAAUUUUUUUUUUAAGUAUCCAUUGGAUGCACCAAACAAGACGGUUGAAUUGCACUCAACAAGUUUGCUAGUAGUUGUCUUCUGCUUCAAUUUAACAAGUUAUUGCUUUGGCGUUUGCAGUAACAACCACUAGUGGGAAUAAUCUUUUGAUCACAUUCACAAAUUAUCCAAUGUGCAUCAAAAUUUAACACCCUCACUUUAACAUAAUUAACUUUUUACUGUUUUUUAUUGACUAACCUAAUACCUAACUUUGUCCAAAAAAAGUCUUAAAUUAAGUGAAUACAGUCUUACAACCUCAAAUUAAUGUUUUACUCAGGUUUUCACAUACUAACUUGAGAUCAAGAAAGAAAACUCAUAACUAUAUUAUCAAAAAAAUAGAAGAAAAGUCAUAAUUUUGUCCAAAGUAAAUACCAUAACCACUAGAAUGAGUUUGGUUUGGUAAAAUACAUUAAAUAUUGUACUAGUUGCUGCCUCCGUUUCAAAAUAUUAGCAAAAUUCACUUUUUAGUGGUCCAUAAUAUGAACCACAUACAUCAUUAAAUGAAUGAACCUAAAAAAUGAAUUUUGCUUAUAUUUUAAAACAGAGGGAGGACUAGAUAGAGGAUAAUGUCUAAAAGUAAUUCAUUUUUUUAUAGGGGGAAUUAUUAAAGUCUUUUUGACUUUUAAAAAAAUUAUAUUGCAGCCAACACUUUUCUUCAUUUUAAUUUUUUUUUUAAGAAGGUAAAAUGAAAUUUAUUUAAAACACUAAGAUUCUAGCAAGCACAAGGAAUGCUAGGUUAAGAGACUUAAAAAGCAACAUACAAAGGAAAAGUGUGCCGUAUAUAUGCGGAACACCCAUGUACAAAUACAAACUUCUACAAACAAACCAAAAACACCCUCCACUGAGGGCCCUCGAAACCAAUAAAAACUAAACACCAAACCAAGAGUCAUCACCAAAAACCAAAGUCUAAACGUCUUAAACAAGCCACACCGUCUAACAUUCAUGUAUUUGAAAACCUUAUCAACAACAAACUCAUAGAAGAAAACCUUCAAAAAGCAUAAUCACCACUAGCCACCACAAGCACCACUACCAACCCCAAAUCUACCAUUAACCACCACGAAAACCACCAUUAAUCCUCACCAAAAACCAGCACCAACCACCAUGAGCAUCACCACCAAAAAACAACAUCAGCCACCACGAGCAUCACCACCAAAAACCACCAUGAGCACCACCACAAAAGACCAAGUAUCAACACCACCAUAAAAACCACCAUGAAACACCACAAUCCAACAUAACAAAAAAAACAACGUACGACCUUCUCAACAUCAUCACCACAAACAAAACUCAUCGCCACAUAAAAAUAAAAUAAAAAUUAAUCUUAACACUUGUAAGUAACAAGACACUACCUUCCCCAUAACACAACAUCAUAGGUACUAAAAGAGUGCAAGCAACCAAAAAUGCCAAAACAAAAGGUAACCUACACAUAACAUGAUCCUCUGCCACACAUUGCUCCACCUAACAUGUUUUCCCUUAGACCUCUAAUUUCGUAAGUCCAUGCCUACAACCACAUUCAAGUAAUAUAUGGCUUAAACUCAACACUAACCCACACCUAAAAUUAUGCAGAAGCAGUAUGUCAAAAACCAUAGCAGCACCAAAUUGAACAACCAUUAAAUAAGCUUUACACAUUGAAUACACCAACAGAACACAAACAUGACAAAUUAAGACCAUCCUGCACUCCCUAAACCAAUGAAAGACAAACCUGCCACAAAAACGCAGCAACAUCACAAAAACUACGUUGAGAACCACCACAAAAAACUAGCAGCACCACCACCAUAAAACCCCUCCGAAAACCAUCACAAACCACCACAAAAAACGCAGCAAACUAACACCACCAUGAACGCGAGCGAUGGAUAAAACAACCGCUGAGAGAAACCGGUGGCCGAGUGAUGCGGACGGCCUAAGCCAAUCAUCGCACCACCAACGAUUGAAUCUACAUCGCGGCGGAUAUAGGUUGGAUUGGAAGGAAGGAGGGUGACGGUGGAGAUCUAGAGAGAGGUCAUAGAUGUUUUUACAGAGAGAAAUUUAGGGUUUGCUUAUGAUUCUUCACUUUAAUAUGUUGUACAAUCACACUUUUAAGUCACUCGAAAUGCCUGGAUGAUUAUUUUGAAUUUCUAAGUUAUGUAAUUUUAUUUUAUUUUUAUGGUCAAUUUUAUGUUUAAUGUUUAUUAACAUAUAAAUUUUGUGUAUAUAAAAUUAUAGUUUCUUUUGGUGGCCCAUCCGAACAUUUUUUUCUUGGCUCCGCCAAAGCACACUUGACUAACUAAUAUGUUGAAUGCACCAAGUAAGGAAGAUGAAUUGCAUCCGACAAGUUUGCAAGUUGUUAUGCUUCCCAAACAAACAAACGCCUUCACCAAUAGAACUUCCAAGCCCACACAUCAUUCACCGACUCCCCCAAAUCCGAGAUAGAACACUUGCAAAGUAAUCAAAUGUAGUCUAUAAAAGACCGAAGUGGUUGAUGCCCUAUCCACCAAUCGUAGCAAAACCGGGUGCCUCAACCAUCGCCUAUUUUUUCCGCCAAAGCACACCAUCAAAUCAGUCGUCCAAUCCUUGUGCCGUCAAACUCACUCCACAUAAACCUUUCCCCCACAAGAUUGAUAAAUUCGGAUUGAUCAAAAUAUCUAAACCAUACUUAGCACUCAACACAUGACCAUCGUGAGUCCUCCCCGGAUAAUAACCAUCACCGCCACUUUGCUAAGAGAGUCCUUCAUCCCAAGACCACAUUCAAUCUUCUAAUAUGUGUAUUUUAGUUUUAACACUUUGGCGUGUUUUUUUCAACUGAAAUGUUGUAACACUUAUUCAAUAUGUCAUGAUAGUUAUUCUCUUUUGGUCAUAUUAGCUACUGCACAAGCAGCUCGUUCAGGUUACAAAUUAAGGAAUUGAAACUGGCAAACUGCAUUUUUGCAUAUGUCAUUGGAUUAAUUUAAUUGGCUGUAUUCAUACUUACACAAGUUCACAAGACAAUUAUUUACACUUUUGGUUCAUGUGAAAAGAGGUAAUUUAUUAUAAACUUUUUCAUAUUAAUCCCUUCAUAUAAAAGAAACAAACUUAAACAAGGCCGACCACUGUAAUAUAAUACACACUUAAUUAAUAUUGGAAUUACAUCAGAUUGUUUUCCAGAGUUACAAGAACUCUCACACACAUGAUAUGUACUAAAAUCUUGAAAUAUACUAUAUAAUGAGUAAAUAAUAAUUCAUAUAUAUUAAGCACACUGCACACAAUUCAUGAUCUUGUACAUGUAACACCUUGCAGAAGAAUCCCAGCUGAGGUUGUAAUAUUGUAGACAUUUUGCGAAAUAACAAAGCUAAGUGGGUAGCAAACAACCUUCAAAGUUAUCCAGUUGGAUUCAAAGAUAUCUUUCUUAAACUGGAUGGAAGUGAACAAUUUGAGACCGAAUUCAACCCUUCCAUGUUCUCGGCGGCUACGAUAAAUGUUGUUAGUCACGUGAGGCUCACACGAGUCUACCUUCAGCUUCAUCUCAAUCAUGCUACCGUUGAAAGGUUGAAUAGUUGAUGUAUUUAGAGUGAUGAUGCCGCCAUAUUCAUCCAUGUAAAAUAUCUCAGCAUCGAGUGUAUCUUGGUAUGAGACACUUAGAUACUGCUUUGGGUUGGACAAUGAGACUGUGAUGUUCCAUGCAGCGCUCAUUUUCUCUGUCCCUAGUUUCCUGCCAUUUCCAGUUAGUUGGUUAAGUGAUGCCGAUUCGACUUGGAAAGUCGGGAAUUGUAUAGUACGAUUGAUGAUUAAUGUACACAGAAAUAAGAUGACAAAGAAGGCGCCAAUCAGGGCAAAAAGACCGACGAAGAAUCGGCAGAGGGAAGACAUUGUUGGACUCUGGCUUAUAAUUUGUUGUUCACUAUAUAUAAUGUAAUGUAAAUAUUGGUGAACACUGAACACGAUUAAUUUAAUUUAAUGUUGCUCACCUAGGUAGAUAAUCUAGUAAUGUGAGGAUUAGGAAAUUGCAUUGCACUUUCCUUGUGGUUAUAUUUAGAAAUACCGAGUAAUUGGCUCACAUUAAUUAAGGUAAUAAUAAUAAAGGGCAUGUGCUUGCUUGUUAGACUAAACACGGUGUUUAUAUUUUAUAGUGUCCUAUUUAUUUAGUCAAUGUUGUUUUAAAUCCCAUUCUGCUAUGCUAUUGACGAUGUAUUUUUUGAAAUUACUAUUGAUUACAUUCAACACAUGUAGUACUUAUACUUCUAAUAGAAAGGUGUCCGACCCUACACAUGUGAUUUUAUAUUUUAUUAUGUCAUUUUUUAAAUUAUUAUCGGUAUCGACGUGUCAAUGUCUUAUCCGAUGUUUGUCUUUAUGUUUCAUAGAUUUUUCUAACUUGCACUGAGAGCGCAUGCGUUCAGACUAAUUAACAAUCAAAUUCUGCUCAAAUCGUCAAGCCAAAGAAUUAUAGUCAAGUAUAUAAUUAUUUGGGUGACAUCUAGGAUGAGGGUCCAACUAAACCCCUCACACAUGUACUAGCAAAAUUGACCAUACGAUUUUAAGCAAAAUCAUUGCCAACGGCUGAGAUGUUAGAUUGUUACUACUAUUUAGUCUCCUUUCUAAAGUGAUGUGUUAUGGUGUUGCUAUAGCCACUAUUUGACAACACUUUGUAAUUAAGUGCAUUGCAGAACAAUAAUAGCAAUAUGUUCAAAUUCCGCUAUGCUACAACACUAUCAAAAAAGCAGAAUGCUGUCAUUAUACGAUCGAAAAAGCCACAGUUAGAGACCUUAAAAUGUAUUAUAGAUGCAUUGUUUGAAGAUGGAAACAACUUCGGCUUUGGAAUUUGUAUUCGGAACAGCCAGGGAGUUAUGGUCCAAGCACGGACUGGGUGGUUUAUAGGAACACCUUCGCCAAGCGAAGCUGAAACAAGAGGUACCUUAUAAACAAGAGUUGUCGAAGAAGAAUUACAUUCCGUGUUAUUGCACAAUAGAAAUAUCGUCAUCCAUUUGAAACUUAUUCUUCCAAAUUUGUUUGUAUAUUUUAGUAACUGUUCAAUCAGUGGCACGAGAUAAGGCCACACCACGCCAUAAAUUACACUGAAAAAUUACCAUGAGGAAGUAUAAAAGUGAUUUUUUAUUAUAAAAAGUAAUAACAAACUUAGGAAUUACCAUUAGGAAGUAAAUAAAUAAAAUCUCAAUUAAUUAAUGUUAUUGUCAAUUGUUUGUUACGGAAGAGAGCGUGUGGAAAAAAUAGGAAUUUGUUGGAGAAGUGGAUCAAAACUAACAAAUAUUUGUUAUUUGAGAAAAUAGUGGGAAUUUGUUGCGGAAGUGGAUUUGUUAUUCGAGAAAAUAGCGGGUAUUUGUUGCGGAAGUGGAUCGUAAUUAACAAUAGUUUAUUUUUCGAGAAAGAAAAUGAGAUCAUUUAAUCAUCUAUGUCCUCUAUUAUUGAAGAAUUUUGUUUCUUAACGAGCAAGAAAAUAUGUGAACUGAAAAUGAAAAAUAAAAUGCUAGAAAGUAGCGGCGAUUUCUAUUUUAUAUAACUAACUCCUGUGAUACGGCGUCGUCUUUAUUCAAACAAAUUGUAAAUAUCAAUGCUAAUCAAUAAACCAAUCAAACGUUAGUUUACACACUAGUUAUAAUCACGUCUUAUAAAAUUUGUAAAAUUAUGAAUUGAUCGACAAUAAAAAAAUGUUGUUGUUGAAUGAUAGAGCACAACUUAAAUUUAUGAAUAAUAACACACUUAAUAUUGAAAAUACAUCGGAUAGUUGUCCCAAGAGUUACAAUAACUCCCACAUACUAAAGUCGUGAAAACUAUAAAUAUAUAAAGGGUCUUGUUAACGAGUGCUCCGACACUUUUAAAGUUAUUCAUUAAAAAAGUCAUACACAAGUUUUCAAAUGACCCGACCCAUAUCCUCGUGGGUAACUAUUUUGGUGACCGUUCCCGUACCCUAUGAGCAUCUAAGAGCCGGUACCUGCACCAAUAUCCACAUUUUAACUAGAGCUGUCAAAUGGGCCGACCAGACCCAGCCCGCCUCGGCCCAGUGGGUAAGCUCAUAUAAAUGGGUCUGAGUGGGUUGGCCCACUUGAUUCAUGGGCUACCAUAAUUGAGCUCAUCCCAAUUAGUAGUGGGCUACACGACCCGAUGGGCCAGCCCCGCCUAUAUUUCAAAAUGUAUUAUUUUAUUUUUUUGAAAAACAAUCGAUGGAAUGAACAAUAAAGCUACAUAUCAUAUUUUUUUUAAUAGAAACAUAUUACUUAAAUUAUUAUACAUCAAAUAAAUCAUAUGCCUUUGUAAACUUAGUUAAAUUAUAUAUAAAACGUCUAUUAAAUCAACAUCCAUAAGGAUAAAUAACACAAAAGAAUCAAUGUAAAAGUAGUGUAUUUAUCAUAACUCACAAAGUGAAUCUUGAAGACAAUAAAAUUUAAUAUUACAUAAUAAAAUAAUUCAGUCUUCCCUAAUAAAAGUAUUUAUAAACUAUUUAUUUGUUUAAAAGGGCCGGCCCACAAGCCCCGCUGUAACAUCCCAAUAUUUUAUAUAUGUAUUUUUUAAAUGAUUUUCUUAAAUUAUCACUUAGUUGCUCAACAAUUUAUAUGUGCGAGAAAUUUCACAACAUCUUGGCAUUCCUUAAUUUAGUUUAUUAAUUAGAUUUUCUUUUAUAUAGUUCAUUUUUAUCUUGGCAUUCCUUAAUUUAGUUUAUUAAUUAGAUUUUCUUUUAUAUAGUUCAUUUUUAUCUUGGCAUUCCUUUCUUUGAUGUAUUAUUAUUUGUAAUCUAUUUAAGAAUUAAUUAAUUUUAUUAGAUUAAUUUUUUUUUAUUUGAUUUCUAUUUUGAUUUGGUCUUACCACACGUUUUUCUUGCCUAAUUGCUCAAUUAAACAUGCUUCAAUUCAUCUCCUAUUUACUAUUGGUUAGUGGCCUUGCUUGAGAGAAAUAAUAGGUAACCAACCCAUCUUCCUUUUUGUGGCAGAAUAAUAGUAAUUAGAGAUUAGUUGCCAGAUCAUUUUAUGCACUAUCAGUUAACGUGCAUAUUUCUUUCUCUCUAUAUGCUCAAUUGUGGAGUCAUACGCUCAUUCAUCUCUGUCUUGCGUGUUUCAUUUUUUCUCCUCCAUAACUUACCAUAUAGCCGACAAUGGUUUUAAUUGGGUUUUUUUCUAGAUUACCUUUGAGAAAUGGUGGGUAAUUUAUCCACCAACCAAUCAUAAUGAGUAAUUUAUUGGUGGGGUCAAGAUAGUUUAUGAAUACCAUCUAAAAAGUGAAUGUUUAUUGGUUGGGGUAAAUUACCCACCAUUUUUCCAUAGGUACCCUAAUUGUCACCUUUUAAUUGAGGAUAAUUCCAAUUCCAAUUCACUUCACUUGAUCAAUAGAUAUCAUUUUAUUUUCCAACCUUGUGUGUUCCCGCCAUGUCAAGGAAGUUAGAUCAAAGAAUUCAAUUCCUAAAAGGCUUAUGCAUAUUCUUGCUAUUAUUUAACUUCCUCAUCACUUCCCAGCCUCACUCUCCAUAUUGUUUCUCUCAAUCAAUCACUUUUAAUUCAAAUAUAUUUUUGAAGUUUAAAGCAUUCUUCUGGCACUUCUUUCGACUAAUAUCAUGCAUCAGAAUUUUCCUAAGACCAGAAGCAAAUCUCCGUGCCCUAUUCCUUUUACAUCACGUUAGGUAUGUCAAGAUAUAGGUGUAUAUCUUUCCUUUUGUGUACACACACUAGUUCUAAUUAUAGAAUUUGAUUCUUGAAGCUUUGAGGAAAUGUAGGCAGUUUCGUGGGAUUAAAGUGUGCUAUUAGGAAGGAAAACAUGUAAGGUAAGGAUUUUUUUCCCAUACGUCCAUACUAAGUGUUAGGUUGUGUUAGUAAGUAGAAGUAGCAAUUCUUGUCUUUUAAAAAGAAAAAUAAUUAAAACGUAUUUUCAUGAUAAAAUUAAGGCUUAAUUGCACUUUUGGACCCCUAUCUUUUCAAAAGUUGCGGUUAUGGACCCCUAACUAAUUUAAAUACAAAACAGCCCCCUAUGUUUUGAUUCUUUGACAGUUUUGGACCCCCAAGGCAAAAAAAAAUAAUAAAAAAUUUGACACGUGACACCUCACUUAGGGUGCCACAUCAGCGUUGACCAAGUCAACAAUGGACUGGGGGUCCAAAACUGCCAAAGAAUCAAAACAUAGGGGGCUGUUUUGUAUUUAAAUUAGUUAGGGGUCCAUAACUGCAACUUUUGAAAAGAUAGGGGUCCAAAAGUGCAAUUAAGCCUAAAAUUAAUCCUUUCUAAAAGUGAGUAUUAUUAACUAUGACACUACAAAAAAAACGUGUUAAUUCUGACGGUUUUUUACCGGCGGUCCUUGUUAACCACACAAUCAAACAUCCUUGCAAUCUACACAACAAAGGGUUGCACGCUCUACAUGGGUUGCACACACUACACAGGUUGUAUCUGCCUCCAAUGAUCAAACUCAAGCUCCACAUGCAUCACAAAAUGAAUCCCCUACACCGGUUGAUGCAAGUAUAUCGUCUCAAAUACCAAAUCAAACACGCUUGCAACGUGAAGCUAAAAUGCACCUAUUCAACCAACCAAUCUAACUUCCUCACAACAUGAAGCUAAUGGACGAGAAUCUACAUGGACGAGAAUCUACCCAUUAUUGGUCUGUAGAUGCACUAGGUAUGAUUAUAUAUCGAUAUAAAUAGAUUUAGUCUUGUGUUGUCUCUUGUUUACAUAUUUUUUAACAACAUAACAUUCAUAUCUCAACAUAUGAAGAGAAUGAUGCAAUUCGAAAACUCCAUUUGCUGGUUAAGGACAUCAAUAACUUGCCUGAUGGAUUGCGAGUCAUUGUGGAUUUUGAUGAACAACAUACACCUAUUGGAGAGGCUGCUGGUUUUCUUUCUGGAGUAUGUGGAUUAGUAGCAACACAUAGUCCCUUUUUCCCUAUAAGUUUGGAUAAGUGGUCAGAUAUGCCAGCUAAUUAUUUUGAGACACAGUAGAAAGAACUCUUUGAGGUAAAAUAAUUUUAACUCUACUUAUGUUUUUUAUAGUUUGUCUUUGUAAAAUUGUAAUUAACUAACAUUCUUGUUAUUUGAAGCGUCGAUUUUGUUUCAAUGAAGUUGAAGAUCUAGCUAAAAGAUAUAUUGAGGGUUAAAUUGGCAAAAAGUGGAGAGAGUAUAGACUUAAACUAUUUGAUGAUAACUUCGAUACUACUUUGAGAAAGAAUGAAAUUGUCAACAAUAGACCUGAGAAUGUUCCCUUGGACCAUUGGGUGAAAUUUGUUGAAUAUCGCUUGAAACUCGAGACUAUGGUAUACUUCAUUUUUUAUUAUAUAUUGAUUUUUUUUUUAAAUAAUUAGUUGUUAAAUCAUAGAAAGUAAUAUACUCUCACUUGUUUAGGAAAUGUGCAAGCAAAACAAAGAAGCGAGAAAGAAACAGAUUUUUAAUCAUACGUGCGGCGCCAUGACUUUCUCGAGGAAAAAACAUAUCCUAGUAAGUUUGUCUAUUACUAUAUGUAGCUAAUUCAUUGUUUAAGUUGACUAUUAAGUUAUUUGAUUCAUAAUUAUACUUUUUGUUCUAGACUCUUGAGGCUGGUAAGCCUAUCGGCUAGGGUCCAAUGUGGGAUAUGACCCACAAAAGGGUAGAUGGGAAGUAUGUCAAUGAAGAAGCUCAGAAGAUAGGGGUAAAUUGAUAAUCUACCUCCCAAUUUAUUUUAAAUUUAUGUUCAUUGUUUUAGAAUCGAAGGAAAUGAAUGUUAUUCAUUGGUUAUUUAUUAUUUGGUUUGUAGGAGAAAAUUUACAAUCAUAUAGCUGAAAACCCUAAUGCUUAUUCUGAAAUUUCUCCAAAUGAUAUUGUUGGCAAGAUAUUUGGAAAAGAGCAUUCUGGCCGUGUUCGAGGAAUGGGCAUGAGACUGGUUCAUACUAUUGCUUUUAAGCAUACUACCACACGACUUAGCGGUAUGGACUUUGACUCUUUUCAUGGUAGUACUUCAAGCGGCAGUUCUGCAUUAGUGAACCAAAAACUUGCAACUAUGGAGGCUCAAAUUACAGCACUUGUUGGCUACGUUAAAGCGAAGGAAGGUGGUUCACUGCCUCCAAAGUUAGCUGCUGCCUUAUUUCCCAUUGAUACACAACAUGUAUAACAACUACUCAAUGCAUUUAUGAUUUUGUGCAUGUGUCUUUCUGGAGUAGUACCAGCGCUACAUUAAACUUUGGAAGCACUGAUAUUAUUUGAUGAUAUUUUACAAAAUAGAUCUGAAUGCUAUUGGGCUAAUGAAAUCAAUACUGCUAAAUUUUUUUUUAUCAAUUAAAUGCAUUUCUCUAAGUUUUUCAUCAUCAAUCUUUAUAUUCAUCAAUUAUGAAAAAUUGAUUUUGGAUAAUACUGUCUUUCAAGCUUUUACUUUGAUAAUAACUUUUACUUUGCUUAGGUUGUUGAAUUGGCAAUAAUAUCUUGCUUAAUAUGAGUUAACAAUUAUAAUAUAUAUUUUUUGGAGGCAUCAAACGUAGGAAGUGAAUCUCCAACACCCAAUGACAUAACUAGAUCAUCAGAUGAAAGCAAUGCAUGUGGAGCAUGAGAGCCCUAAUUUUAGUGACAUCAUUUGUGUAGUCAUUUUUAUGUUUUGAAACUUGUUAUUUUGAGAAUAGCUAAAGAUGGUGGAAAUGGUUUGUGUAACUUUAUGUUUGGAGACUUGUUUAUAUUUGAGACUUGUUUAUUUUGAGAAUGGAUAUUUGUAUCAAACUCCACUUGAGUUGAAUUAUAAAUAUAUCAAUGAAAAUGUUCAAAAUUUGUUUGUCCUUUAAUUUUGUUCAAAAAAUAGAAAUGUACAAUUAUAUAUUCCUAUGAAAUAAUAAUAUUAUAAAUAAAGUAAUUUCAAUUUUUUGAGCAUUGUGGCAUUUUAUAUGUCAAUUGUGGCAGCUCAAUGAUUAAAUAUUAGAAGUAAAUUUUGACAGUUGAACAUGCCACUACAUGCAUAGGUCUUAGGAGUACUUUCUGGUGGUUAAAACCGCCGGUACUUUCUGCAUGUUACGGUGGUAAAAAAUGUCAGAAACACUUAUUGACUUUGUCACAAUUAUGUAAAUAAUGGCAUUUGAAACUUCCGCUACAUACAAUUAAGUAACCGCCACUUUAAGCCAAGUAUAUAACGGCGGACAACAUGGCGGCUACGUAAAAAUUCCUGCUUUAAACAUUGUGGCAGGCGAAAUUUCGGCAGUUUUUAAAACGCCAGAAUUGUGCAUAGUGGCGGCUAAAACCGCCAGAACAUACAUUUUUUAGCCGCCGGAAAACACGCGUUUUUUUGUAGUGUGAGUGAUUAUUCUUAAUUAUGUUUUAGAUGAAAGUUGUGUAUGAUAAUGUGGUGUGAAUUGAUAUAUUUUAUAUCAAUGCGCUUUAUAUGUUUUUGUGAUGUUGGAAAAGAAAUGUUACAUUUUUUUUGAUGAAUUAAAGAAGAAAAAGAUGAAAAUGUGAGUUUGUGAAAUGAUUGACUUUUGGUUUGUGUGCUUGAUGAUGCAUUAAUACUUGACUGGAAUUGCCUUAGUGGCGGGUUGUGAUUAUAUUAUGUGUGGUGCCUUAGUGACGGGUUUUAGUCUGCAUUUUCAUGAUCAUGCAAGGCAUAUGCAUCUGUGUGGUGCCUUAUUGGCGGAAAUUGCAAUUAUAUUCUGUGUGGAUGCCUUAGUGGCGGGAAUUACAAUUAUAUUUCUGUGUGGUGCCUGUGUGACAUGUUAUAUCCGGAUCAUAUAGUUAUAAGAGCAUGCAUCUUACGCAUAAUUGCAUUGAGUCUGUUGUAUACAUGUGGUUGAUGAUUGACUUAAAUCUAUUUUAUUGCAAAUGAGAUGUGUGUGAACCUUACCUUGAAGCAUAUGACUUGAAUGUAUUUUUCUUAAUUCUUUUUGAUUGAUAAGUUUUAAUAUUAUCUAUUUUAUGAUAUUGUUUCUGGUGCUUUGAGUAUGAACCAAUUUGGAUAAGGAAAUUGACCCUUACACUAACAUUUUAGGUACCAAAGAAGAUAUGGUCUAUGCUUUAAAGUUUUUGCUUGAAGUGCGUACGGGGGAACAAAUUGAGUUUUUGAUUUGAAUUGUAAUUUUGAAGGAAAUUUAUGUUCAGAAUUUUUGUAUAGGUUUUUAUUAAGAAUCUAUUAAUGAUGAUUAAGCACAAAAAAAAAAUAGUAGUGAUUUUCUAAAAAUGAAAAUAAUUUAGGCGUAAUGUCUUGGAUCAAAAUCCGGGGCGUUACACUCGCGGCCAGCCCAUGUCGGCCUAUCUAAAAUGCAGGACCGAUGUGAUGGCCCAAAAAGAUAGGGUCGUUUUUCAUGCUUUUUUUUUACGGCCUGACCCACACUUAAAUAGGGGACCGAAGGGCCAGCCCGGUGGGUCUGUUCAUUUCGACAGCUCUAAUUUUAACAACAAAAAGACAAUAAAGAACAAAAAAUAUCACAACUUAAUUAAAAUAUGAUCAAAAAUCUCUGAAGUCAACUUAUAAUUUAUUUCACAUUGUAAUAUUUAGCCAAAUAAAAAAGAUCUAAAAUAUAAUAACACAAUUGCAUAUUGCAAUAAAUAUUAAAGAGAAAGGACUAAGCUAGAGUGUACGUACCCGUUCAAAUUUGCAGGUAAUUAUCCAAGUCCGAGCCCAGAUCCAAAAAUGCAGGUAUUUAUCUGUCCAUCGUGUAUACUUUUGCGGGUACUCAUUGGGCUUAGGUCUAAUAGUCAUCCCUAAUAAUCAAUAAUUUAUUUAUUAUAAACCAGGUGUGUUUGCGGUGCGAUUUGAUUCGGUUUUGAGGCUAGAAGUCAUUCAAACUGCAAGAUAAAAAGCAUGCGAUUUGGUUUGGUUCGGUUGACUUUUAAAAUAAAAUUGAAUCAAACCAAAUCAUACUAAUUAUGUUUGGUUUGGAUCGGUUGGUGCGAUUUUUCCGAAAAAAUGAAACUUUUUUUUCAUUAAAAUCAAGUUAUAAAUAUAUUUUCAACAUUACAAUUUUCAUUUUGAACCAAAAAAAUUCCCAACUUCAUACACCAAAUUUAACAAAAAGUAAUCAUAUUUUGUAAGAAAUACAAAAGACUAAGAUUUUAACAUUCACUAAAAGUUCAAGUAGCAUAUGAAUACAUUUUUGAAAUAAAAAGUAAAGAAGAAACUUACCAAGCGAAAAAAUGUGUCAUUUUAUAAAAGUUUCCAUAAGUAUUUGUCUAGGUGACAUAUGUUUAAUUAGUGUUUUUCUUAUGUGCGGUUUGGUUUGGUUGGUAAAAUAAAAACCGUAAACUAAACCAAACCAUAAGGUUGAGUAAAAAAAUGAUCAAUACCCAAACCAAAUGCGGUUUUUUGCGGUUUCGGUUUUGAUUGGUUUGAUUUAUGGUUUUUUAUGAAAUCGGUUCGGUUUUGAACACCCCUUUUAUAUACUAGUGUUUAGAAGAACACUAUAUUCUUGUCUGUUCGCUCUUUUUAUUGUGUUAAUGCAUAUAAAUUACGAACAAUAUUUUUUAUGAAAUUUUGAUUAAAAUUAUUUUGAUUUUGAUUAAAAUUAUAAGUAUAGAUGAUAGAUAUUUUUCACUUUUAUAUAAUAUAAAUUAGAAACAAAUUAUAAUUAACUUUUUCAAUGAUAUCAACUAUAUUAUUGAAAUAUAAUAUAAAUUCUUAUAUUUUUUAAUAACACCAACAUAAUAACAUUUAUGUAGUCUUCUCCCUCAAAAAAAAAAAAAACAUUUAUAUAGUCAAAUUUAUUUAAGGAUAUAAUUGAAAGUAAAAAAGUCAGUCUAAAACCAUGUAUUCUCUUUACACUAGCGGUUGACGGACACAUUGUGUCGGUCUAUCUUCUCUUUUUAUUGCGCUAACACAUGUAAAUUAUAAUUUUUUUUUAUUAUAUUUAAUUUUUGAUUAAAUUUAUAUGUAUAGAUGUUUGUGACUUAUUGUAACAAAUCAUGCUUAUUUUUUUUUUUUUUCAAUUAGACACCAAUAUUGUAAAUAUAAUAUAAACUUUUAUCAUUUUCAUUGACACCAGCACUAUAACAUUAUUUAUUAUAGAAAAAUUUGUAAAGCAAAAUAAAAUUUAUUCCAACUACACACUAAUCAAAAUUUAGGCUUCAACUCUUCGUGAAACCAUUAGUAUAAGUAACAAAAAAUUGUUUUAGGAAAGUUUAAAUUUGCAGAAAAUAAAAACAAAUAUUGUUAAAAAUAAACAAUCUUGAAUUUUUCAAAUCGAUAUCAUUAAUUAAUUUUUAUUGAAAAUGAGUAAGUAGGAGUAAGUGAGAAAAAGUAUAAUUGACAAAUUCUAUACUUAAACUAUCAAAACGACACUUAAAUAGAAACAAAUUUGUACUCAAUCAAAUAAAAAAAAUAUUGCAAUGAGUAUACAAUGACACCCCUCUAAGUUAUGAACAACAUAAUUUACUAAGUUUGAAAAAUAUUCUAAGAGUGAACGACAUGAACUCAAAAUACAAGUAAAUUCAUGUUGCUUGUUUUCAGCAACACGAUAUUUAUUUUAAAAGUGACCUACCUUCUUUGUCAAUGAUGAUCUCAACACCAACUUAUUUCCAGGAUCGAACGACUCAAGUGACUCAUUUUUCAUGGUCACUAAGAAACCCUUAUCAAUCAAACAAGUUGCAUUUCAUACAUGGAACAAACAUAACAUCUUCAAUUAUAAUUGUCUCGCCAUCAUUUCUCAUCAUCAUUUAUCACCAUGUUCUAAUUGAUCUACUGGUGCUAUGGCGCUGCGCUGCUAUAUAGCCGCUUUUUAUAUCACUUUGUAUUAAAAUAAAUACCGCAUGGCAAGGUUUGUUCAAAUUCGUCUAUGAUAUAACAACUAUAACGGCUCUAUAUAGCCACCAUUUGACAACACUAGGUGGUUGAUAGUGUUUAGUUUCUAGGCGUCAUUAACAGUGAAGAAAGUACACUUAUCACUAACAUAGUGUUUUGUUUCUUGUGACACUGAUAAACACAACACUUUACAAUUCAACCAACAAGUCAUCAGUUUUUAUGAACAUUAUGAUUUUCAAAAAUGGUUUAAUCUUAAUUUUAUUAUUUCCUGCUACAAGGGUCUCCGUUCCUUUUACAGCAUUAUGGUAUAUUAUAUUACUGUUUUGGCACUUUAGGCUUCUUUGGUAUAGGUAAUUCUCUAAAUUGAGAUGACUUGAGUAAUGUUAAAAAAAUAUGUGACUACCGGACAUAUCAAUUCAAGUUUCAAGUUCAUUUUAAUAAUCUGAGACAAAAAAAAAUCCAAAACGAUUUAUAUUUUGAGACAUAUAUAGAAAGUACAAUAUAGAUAGUUAUUAUCAACAUGUUUCUAAAUAGAUGUUUAUUGUGUUUGAUUUCAUAUGGUAUGAGAAUCAAAAGUGAUUGCGUAUCCAAUUGAUUUUUUGAUAUAUUUGGGGUGAUGAUAUAGAUUAGAAUUGAUUCUAGAUUGAAACGGUGGUUUGUGGCAUUUGAUUCCAGACACAAUAUUUAUACUUAAUAUUAUUUAACUUAGUUUUACAUAUAUUCAUACAUAAAUUAUUUGAUAUUCAACUCAAUUUAACUUAGUAUUUCAUAUUAUAGGAAAUUUGUCAAUGUCGCAUUGAGCCAUCAUAAUUUUAUGUGUUGAUCAUGAUGUCAAUCAAACAUACACUGUAUCAAAUUUUAUCAAGUAGAUUAUUGGUUAGAUUUUUAUCUUUUAAAAUAAAUAAAUUAAAAAUUUGAUGUUCGAACUCUUACCCUUACAUAUUACAGCGUCCCUACGACCUGAAAUAUAAGUAUGAUGAAAAAGUUUGUAAUUUUUACCAAUUUUUUUCACCUUCUUUUCAUACGAACCAAACCUGAUUUAUCAACCAAUUGAUUGCAUACCAAUUGAUUUUUUGAUAUAUUUGGGGUGAUAUAGAUUAGAAUUGAUUCUAGAUUAAAAUAGUGAUUUGUAGCAUUUGAUUUUAGACACAACAUUUUACACUUAAUAUUAUUUAACAUACUUUUACAUAUUCAUACAUAAAUCACUUCAUAUUCAACUCAAUUUAAUUAAAUGUUUCAUAUCAUGAAAAUUUUGUCAAUAUCACAUUAAGGCAUAUAAUUUUACGUGUCAACCGUGAUGUCAAUCAAACAUACAUUAAAUCAAUAUUUUUUGAGAAAAUACACUAAAUCAAAUUUUGUCAAGUAGUUUGUUGGUUAAAAAUUUAUCACUUAAGGUUAAUAAGAAGAAAAUUCGAUGUUCAAACUCUUAUCUUUCAUAUUGCAACGUCUCUACCAAUUAAAAUAUGAUUACAAUGAAAAUUUUUGUAAUUUGACCUUCUUCCUUAGGAACCAAAACUGAUUUAUCAACCAAAAACAAAACAAAAAAAAA
rnacentral:lncRNA from 1 species